rnacentral:lncRNA from 1 species
UUCACCGUCCUAGAUUUGAACCCCGACUCUGCAUAAAUUAUGCAUUAUUUCUUACCAAGUGAGUUAAGUUUACGGAGAUAUUUUUUUUUCUAUUGAUAAUAAAAUCAACUGUUUAGUCUUUUAUGAAACAAUAUUAAUUUUAGAAAAUAUUUUAUUAAGUCUAGUAGAAUAUGAGACCAAUAUUAAUGUAGUAGAAUAUUGAUAAAGAGGAUUUUACAUGUACUCGUACAACAGUAAGUAUUAUAACGGUUUUAUCAAAAAUAAAUUGUAUCGAAUUACACACAUAGACCACACUUAGGUACUGUUUGGCCAGACUUUUUUCGGUCUAAAAGCUACUUUAAAAUAAAGUUAAAAUAAAGCUCUUUAAGAAAAAGGCUAAAGUUGUUUGGUUUCUUUAUUUUUUUUAGUUCUAAAGUUAUUUUUGAGUUAAAAGCUGUUUGGCAAAAUAUUGUACAAAACUUUGAAUUUAUUAUUUUUUGGUGGUGUCUGGGGUUCGAACCCGGGAUCUUGCAUAUAUUUAUGCAUUGUCUAUAAAUAAAUAAAUAAACUUUGAAUUCAUUAUGAAUUAACAUAAUAAAUAAAAAAAUGUCUAAAAUAUUUUUUGAAGGGAAAAAAUGUUUAAAAUAUAAAAGAUAUAUUUUUACCAAUACUAUAUUUACUCAAUGACGUUUAUUUUGUGUAACAUGAAUACAAAUUUGUACAAUAUCUUUUCCAAUUAUACUCUAUAACAAAUUUUGUUAUAAGAAUACCAUAUUUUUAGUGUUGGUCAAAAAGAUAAGAAUUUAUAUUAUAUAAUAUUAUAUUUGUUACAUUGCUGGUGUCAUUGAAAAAGAUAUGUUUAGUUUUUUUAAUAAGAAAAAGAUAUGCAUAGUUUGUUACAAUACAAAUGUGUAAAUUAUAUAUAUGUAUAAUUUUUUUAGGCAACUACACUUGUACUUUUAAUUAAAAUCAAAAUUUUAUAAAAAUAAUUAUACGCAUUACACAACACUAACAAAAAUUAUACGCAUUAGCAUAACAAAACAAAAAAACAGAAAAAGGAACAUAAAGUAUUACUCUAAACGCUAACGUGUGUGUAUUUCCGUGGUUGAAGAAAGGGAAUAAAAAUAUUCGGUGUCAUUCAUUGACAGCGUGAAUACCAAUAUUUGCGAGGUUGUGAUAAUCAAAAGAUAUUGAAAUUAAUAUAUAAGUGAUAAAAAGAUAAUAAAAUUCCUUAAAAAAAUAGAUAAUAAACUUUAAUGGAACCUCAUUAAAAAAUUAAAUGGACCGGUUAAAAAAAAUAAAAUAAAAUAAAUGGGAAGAAAAAAGCAUAUUGAAAAAAUAAAACAAAAGGUUGCCGGCGGGAGUUGAAGAGAGGUGCUUGUGAAAUAAAUUGGGAAGAAAUAGUUUUUUGAAGUAGCAUUCAACAACUUUUGGUUAAAGCUCAUUCCAUUCAAUUUUAUGCAUUCUAAAAAAAGUACCUUUUUUCGAAGGUACUUUAUUGAUAUUGUGUUUGGCCUAGUUUCUCCUUAAAAACAUAGAAAAGCUGAAAAAAAGCCGGAUCAAACGGUAGUUAGUCUUGUCUCUUCUUCACCAUGUUCUAUCUUGUAACCAUUUUUUGUGUUUGAGGUCUAAUUUAAAACUUAUUGAUUGGGAUUAGUAAAUAAAAGGAUUGGGUCGAAUUCCGUAAAACCCUAUGGUUUUUAGAUAUAAUCCCAUUUUGGAAGUAGUGAGUAGUUGGUAGCACGUUUACUAGUAGGCAGAGGUUAUGAUAAUUUAAGUGCAAGAGAAAGCCGCCACGUAGGAAACGAUGAUCUUCCCACUCCGUCAAAAUGAUCGAGUUUGUGGGCCCUGUUACAUCAGUGAUGUGGGUCCUGUUUUAGAUGCUCUUCAUUACCUUAGCUAUGCUCUGGUUCCGAACCACGUUGCUCUGGUUCCGAACCACUCUUUUGAAUUUUUUGAACGUUACGGCCUUACAGGAGAAUGCUUGCUUUCACUAUUAUAUCCUUUUCACAUGUUUAUAUUUUGAUAUUAACUUGGAUCAUAUGCAUUCAAUCAAACAAUUUCAUAAUAUCACAUUUUUAACUAAGAUUUUAAAUUUCUCUACAAAUACCUAUUUUUCAUAAUUUAAUUGAAUAUAUAUGUAAAAAAAUACAUCGUCAACAUUUAUAAAUUAUUCUCUAACUUUUUAAAACUUACAUGUAUGUUUAAUGUUCAUUGUGAUCUGUCAAUAUUGUAAAAAAGAAUAUAUAAUAUCAAUAAACUAAACUAUUUGUUUUUUAUCAAUAGUUAAAUAUGUUUACUUUAUACACGAUCGUCUCCGACAAUUCAGAGGUCCUCUUGUAAUCUUGAUAAUUCUAAUUUAAAAACUAUUGAGAAAAAAAUUCAACAUCACUUAGCGUGACAAACAUAUACAUUCUAGUCAAAUAUACGCGCAAUUGUUCAAAAAUAACUUUUACCGACAGAUAAAUAGACGUUUACCUAUAGAUAAUAUAUAAUUGACAGCAAAAUAGAUGAAUUAUGGACUUUUACCUACGGAAAAAUGACAUUUAGUAACAAAUUUUGUCCGUAAGUGCAAUUUUUUUUUUCUUUGUUUCAAACUUUGAAGUCCUUUAAGUUUGAGGCUAUGUGCCGAAAGGCUUUGAUGCAGAUGAUAUAGCCGGCCCUGACUUUAUACUAUAAUCAAGUUAACUGAUAACAUUAAAGAAGUGACACCCCCUUAAAAAAAACAGUGGUGUGUUUGUUUCAAGUUUACCAAAUUUAUUCCUAGGAAUAACAUUCCUUGGAAUAAAAUUCCAAGGAAUUUAGAAAAAAUAUGUUUGGUUAGCUUUAUAAUAUUCCUAGGAACCAUAAAAAUAGGGAUUAUAAUAGGUAAACUAUUUAUGAAUUUAUUCCCAUCUCCAUGGGAACUUUAUUCCCACCCUUUUUCAUGGGAAAUUUUUUCUAUUCCCAGGAACAUUUUAUACCCGGGAAUAAAAUUUAGUAAACUUGUAACAAACAUAGACAUAUACAUUCCAAUCAUUUUAUUCCCGGGAAUCAACAAUUAUAACUUGAAACAAACACACCCUAAAGAAGUGGAAUCUUCAAAAUAACUUUUUUUUAGGGGAGUCUUCAAAAUAACUUGUAAAUUAUCCAAUUAACCUCCAUAUUUGUUAGUUUUUUUUUUUGGAGCAUCUCCAUAUUUGUUAUCUAAAAUCCAAAAUAUCUUAUUUUGUCACAAAUGUGCUUGAUCUCACUCUAAAUAAAUAAGACAUUGAGAGAAUCCGAUGCAUAUCAAUAUUGUGCAACUUAAAAAUGCCGGCAAUAUUUAAUUGAGGGCAAUAAUUACUUUGGUCAAAUGAUUAGUCAUAAAAAAAUUUCGAUGUAUCAAAAUUUUAAAAUAUUCACUAAUUAUGCAUUAUGUUAGUCAAAAUAGUCACUAACACUAAAAUAAUCUUUUAAUGUUCAAAAUAACUCUUUUUAUAUAGAGACUGAGAUGAUAAUAAGUCAGUACUUAUAAUGGCUGAUAUGACAAUAAUAUGACAAUAAGUAAAAUAUAUUGAAGAACUAAUAUGACAAUAUUAAUGAAACAGUUUAACAACAGAGACUAUUUUAACUAACGAAUUGCACAAUCAUGGACUAUAUUGAAGUUUUGAUACAUCGAAAAACUAUUGUGAUUACUCAUUACACAUUCAAGGAUCAAAUUAAUAUAUUUUAUGUAAUGAUCAAAUUAUUUAGUUUUUUUUUUUUUUUUAAAAGAUCAAUUUUUAACUUGAUAUAAAAACACUAAAUAUGUACUUGACAAAAAAAAAAAAACUACUUAUGCUUACACUUUAGGCCUGCCAAAUGUAUUGUCUCAUAACGCAUUAUGCCCCGAUGAGUUCAAAGUACAUUGAAGAUGUUGCUACUUGACUGACUCGAAGCCAACCAGGUUCGCCUGAGGGCUGUUCAUGGGUUGGAUCAAUCCAAAAAACCCGUCAAACCCACCCAAAAAAAUGGGUUGGGUGAUUGGGUGGACAUGGUUUUAAAAAAUGAUAAACCCAUAAAAAAUAACUGGUUUUGGGUAAAACCAGACCCAAACACAUUAAACCCACUUACCCAAUAAUUUUCAUAUUUUUAUUUUCAUUUUCAUUUUCAUAGGGAGGAAGGAGAAUAACAAAGGUUUUGGUUAUAAUUUUUCUUUUAAAAAAAAAAUGGUUGUAAAUCAAGUCUAAUUUUAAAAAUUGACGCAACAAAUCCUUUACAUUGAAAAUCAAAGUUUAAUUUCUAAAAUUGACACAACACAUCCUCUAUAUUGAAAAUCAAAACAUGUUACAGCUACAAAUUAUGUUGUUGCACUUUUUAGUUAUUUUGAUGUUAAUGAAAUUUUUCGUCAUCCAACUUUAGUUUGUUGCAAGUAUUUUAUGAUGAAAUUUGUUAUUUAAUAUUAUAACUUAUUAUUUUAUAACGCUAAAAUAUAGCAAAAUAAGAUACACAAUUUUUUUUUUAAGAAAAUUAAAAGUUUGAGUAAUUUUUAUGAGAAAAAAAUACGAGGACGCGUCAUUUAAUAUUAACAAAAAUAAAAUAAAAUUUGGGUAACCCAUAACCCAACCCAAACCAAACCGAAAACUAGUGGGUUUGUCCAAACCCAACCAUUAAUAUAACGGAUGGACGUUUUACCUCACCCAAACCAGAGUAUCAUAUAUAGUUCAGAUCUUGGGUUUGACAAAACCCAGUCCAAACCCACCCACGAACACCCCUACGCCUGAUCUACAAAGUUUCUAUUUAGACUAAUGGGAUUGGGGCAAUAAGAUCUACUAGAAAACCAAAUGUGCAUAGAGAUUAUUUCUUGCACAAGGUAAAAAAAGGGUGAGUACUCAGGGUUCAACACACUCUACUGUAAAAUUUCUUGCUAAACAUGGUCACCCAACUGUUCCUAAAGGAACACAUCCAUCUAUCCCUCACGAUGUUACAUCACCCACAACCAAUCAUUGCAUAGACUUGACAUUGCAGGGAGCUACUUUCACUCAUUUUGUGCAACCAAGUUCCAAGAGGAAAAAUGUUUCAGUUUCAUUCAAUAUGCCAGAACUGAAUAGUGACUUGAAUUGUGUUAGUAACCAUCAAGUUAAAGAUAAAGCUGUUCUGCAUUCUACCAAUUUGGUUCACACUGAAGUCAUAGCUAAUAUGCUAAAACACAGCUUUGUCACUCAAACCCGGAAGGUGGAUGUUGGCAUCCAUUCUGAGGUUGCUCCUUCAUCACAAGCUCAAAUCACAUCUCAUUGUGAUACCAUUAGAGUUAAUCAAUCCAAUGAAGACAUUGCAGCUAUUGCACAGGAUUGCAGAGAAAAUUUGAGCCUACAAAAUUCAUUUGCUUCUUUGGAUGUUGUGAACCUUAUGGAUUUGGGGGAGGCUUUGUCUGAGGGACCGGAGAACAUAGAUGCUUCAUCUGACAUGCAAAAGGCAGUCCAUGAUGCACCUAUUGUCACUCCUCUUGAGAAUGUUGGUUUUGCCCCCGUUCCUAUGUCGCAACCUAUAACCACCAGAUUUGCUAGCUUAUCUAGUGACAAGCUCCCUUCAAGCCAAACCUUGAUCCCUGCUUCCAAACCCCUUUCUGCUGCAGCCUUAAAGAGUGUGCAGAUUCUUUCCAAAUUUUGUGGGGAUGAGGUAGAAUAUGGUGAUGUAGAAGAGGACAACGAGGAAGCCGUGAUUUCAGACUUUGAGCAGCACUAUCCAAGCCUAUCGAAGAGCACUAGAUCAGAAGAAAGAAAAAAAAAAGAAUCAAUUGCGCAAAGUGAAGCCUGCUUGCUUUAACUCAGCCGAAAUGAGGACCCGUGCCCAAAAGGGUACCUUCAAAAAUGACUUGGCAGCUACAGAAUAAUUGGUUUUAUUGCAAUAGAAUAGCUAGAAAUGUCAUUUAUUUGGUAUAUUUUUUCAUAGGAGGGUAGUCUUGUAGCAGUUGGUAUGGUAAUAUGGUCAUAAACUGCCUAGUUUUUUAGGAUCUUUCCUAUCUAGAGAUAGAUCUGGAUUUUCUUUUCAUAAGUUAUCCACUAUAUGACUCUGUUGUAUUGAUUCAGGCAUCUCCUGUCUUUUAUAUUUUAGUGCUUUGCUAAAAAAAAAGUGCGUAGAGAUUAUUUGUAUUUAAUAUACCUCGUCAAUUGGAGGAGAGUCUAGUAAUUUACUUAUAGUUACUUAAUUACAAGGUGAUUUGAUCAUUUAUACAUACAAAUUUUUUGUAAACCAAAUGUAUUAUUUGCCCAUAGUUAUAGAGAUUAAUCUAUUUGAAAUAACUAAAAUAUAUUUAAGAGAUUGAACUAUCUCAACAAAAAUUGUUUCAUACACAUCGAUUAAAUAUUAAACCUUAAAUCAAAUGGUUAAAGGAUCCAAAUAUUUAAUAUCACUAGACUAUCGACCCGUGCUCCGCACGGGUCCUACCACGUAAAAGUUAAUCGAAUCAAUCGCAAUAAUGUACAAUAGAUUUAGUUGAUAGAAGUUUUAUAGCAAUUUAAAAAUAUGUUCCCUUCUAAGACAACAAUAGCAGCAAAAUGAAAUGGUAGCAUACAUAACAAAAGUUAUUUCGAUUAGCAAAAGGUUGUAAUUCCCCUUGUUGAAUCCUACCAGGAUAUUCUCAAGCUUUUAUGUUCCUCCUUCUUCAACCAUAUUUUGCAUCGUUGGCACCAAGAAUUUACGAACAGUAGCAUGGAUCCGUCCUCGUUAAACAAAAAUAACAUGUCAUUAACAUAAAUCAGAAUAAACCUAAUCGCAGUGGCACUCUAAAUUAUUGUUUGUGGUAAGACAUUAGGUUUAUAUAAAAUACUUUCUCAUCAACCAAUAUCAUGUUCAUGAAGAUGAUGUCAUCUGGAUUUUCGUUAUCACGGAUGAGCCAGAUAUGGGCCACACGCACAAGAAACUUCAAAUCCUUCUUCCCACCUGUCACGACUGAAAUGGGGAUGAAAAUGUUGGCCAUCUUUGCAGUCGAAAAAAACAGUUAUUUUCGCUUAAAGAACAGAAUAGAUGUAUUCUCACAACUAAGUGGUAUUUAAAUAGGUAAUUGACAAGUUGAAUUUGAAAGUUUUAAAUGUCGAUGACCAUAGUCUUCUAUUGGUACUAAUUAUUAUUCAUUGCAGCCAUAAAAUCAAUUAUUGCAAAUUAAUUUGUAAUGCUCUGCGACCUGAAAUUUCGAUUAGCAAUAAUGAGCAAUGAAUUUCGAUUUUUAUAAUGAUAGAAUAAUGCAUAAUGAUUGACACAUGUAUGUCUUUAUGAGGUAACUGUGAUGAAAACAUGCUAGCUAAUCAAAACAGGCUCAUCAAUUCCCUCUAUGUCAUUUAAGUUUGUGCGCAUGGCAUGCCUUAAAAUGGACUGCCAAUAAUGAUCGAGUGAACAUAUAAAAGGCAAGUCAACCUGUAUGCAUUUAAGGAAAACUAACCAAUAAUGCACUUUAAUUAUCCUUUGUCUGCAAUUGAUAGUGUUUAAUCAUAUGAUCGAUUAUUAGUUAGGAUUCAACUGAUAUGCGAAUAGUACGAAUAUGGUAAUAUAAUCAUUGUAGUCAUGAAUGCUUUCAAUAUAAUCAUUAAUUGCUAAUCGUAUUUUUCUAAUAAAGUUUUUUGUUAAUAUAAUCAUUGUAGUCAUGAAUGCUUUCAAUAGGUAGUAAUUCAAAAGGAGAGCACAUUAAACUGGAAAGACAAUAACAUAAAUUUUAUUAAAAAGAAAAGAUAAUUUGAAAACAUCAAAAUGGAUCCAACUACAUAAACCCUAAAAACUGAACUCCAUCAAAUCAAAAUGGAUCCAACUACAUAAACCGUAAAAAUUGAACUCCAUCAAUUGGCCUGCAGACAUCAAACUCACAGUAGUUGGGCGCUUGACUUGAAUGUAUAUGGUGUCAUUCAUGCCAGCAUGUGAAAACCCAACUUUAACCAUGACACCUUCAUCAAGUCUGCGCGCCUGUACCAUUCUUUUCCAUCCUCCACCAAGUUUGAUGUGGUGAUGUGGACUGGAUCCAAAUAUAGUGAUACAAUUCCACUUGUUUCCACAGUCAUCAAUCAUUGUCAAUGAAGUGGUCUUUUUCCCGAUAGUUAAAUCACACAGGCCCUUGUAAAUAAGCAUCUGCAUAAAAAUUACAAUCUGUAUAACUAAAUUUUUAAAUGAGGUGAUAGAAAUGUUCCUAAAAAAGCAAUGUAAUGCAAAAUCAAAAUACCAUAAAUCCAGAAGUGACAUCAAAACCAGUUAAAUUCUUCUCCCACGAGAUUUGAAAAUUUCUCUCAUCAUGAUGGAAUGUGAGGAUUUCACAUGUGACCGGAACACCUUCAUAUGCAAAGGCUGGCACGAUAGUUUUCUCAAUCUCAAAUUUCAUAGAAGGAAUAAAAAGAGGAGGAUCCACAACACACCCUGAUCGAUCAAUCACAUUAAUCCCAAACUGUCCAGCACUGGUAAACACCAUCAUAAUAGUUCCACCCAAACGAACAUCAUAAAAGUCGCGUAUGGCAUUGAACCCAGUAGUUAAAAACACACUACCACAUAUCCUUUCAACCAUAACCUCAAACUGGUUGUUGUUAGGGUCGAUAAAAGUGACGUAAUCACCUAGUGAUGCACCAAAAUCAGAGACAAAGGGUUUUGGCAACAUAAGUGCACCUUGUUAAACAUAUACAACCGAAAUUAGUAAGUGAAAAUGCUAAUCAAAUGAACUUUUUAUUUGAAUUGUCGCAUCUAUAAAAAGACAAUAUUAGUAAUCCUGCACUCACAUCUGUUACACGUAACUCAAGUCGAAGAGUUCUAUAUUGAACUCGCAAUCUGUUAACAAACUUGUCCAAAUCAGUUAUAGGAUUUGGAUCUAAUGGAGCUGAAAAAGAUCAAAGAUUCAAAUAAAUUAGUGCAAGUUGAAAAAUAUAAACGAAACAAAAAAUAAGAGAUCAAGAAAGAAGAUGAAACAUGGUUAGAUUUUUUUGUUUAUUUGUACCCUUCAAGCAGUGCAAUGCUAAGAGAGUUAAUGACUCACUUUCCAUCGGUAAGUCUAAACUGUCUUGAUCUAAAAAUGAUGUUAGGAGAGGAUAAUGAGAAUACAAUCGUUAAAAGUUUUUGUACAUAAAAAUGAUGGUAGGAGAUGAUAAUGGUAGGAUAUGGUAAUCGUUAAGAGUUAUGGUGAUUUGAUUAGCAUUAACUACGUUUUCAAUGACCAUUAUGAUGUAUCUAUAUGAGAGAGGAAAUGAGUAGUUUGAAAAUAGAGUUUGAAUCAACGACUGAGAUUAGAUACAUGCUUAGGAGGGAAAAAAGCUAGUGAUUAGGGCAAACAUGCUAGCUAAUCAACUCUAGCUUUUAUAAUAAAGGAUGUUACGUUUUUUUUUUUAGUGAAGGGUCAUGUUACGUUGGUAUUCAUAUAUACAGAUGGUUACAAGGUACAAUAUCAUUGAUUUCUAUUAGACUCCACUCAAAAUAUUUGAUAGAAGCUUGCUUGGGUAUCUUUCAACACAGAUGGACUUCAAGCCUCCCUAGGUUAGGUUAGGUCCUACACUAGGGGGCAAAAUCUGCAAUGAAAACUUAUAUGUCUUGGAUGAGAAGGCCACGGUUGAUUAAUUAGUUGCAUUCCAUAAUGCAUAUUGCACUGCAAUAGCAUUUGAUUUUAAUUUAAUUUAUGAUCAUUUAAACUAGCUAGAAGCCCCACACAUUUACCAUUUGUGAAGCAGUGGCAACUGUUUUCCAUCAACCACUUCACUAACCGACAGAGACAUUCUGUCUACCUUAUGUUUUGGUGCCAUACCCCAAUUCAUUUUGAAGUUACUAUCACAAUGAUUUGUUAUUUAUUUAUUAAAGACAUUGUAAAAUUGUGAAUGCUAUCUUUGACGUUUUCAACCUUUUUAACUAAGAUAGCUUAAGCCAACAUUAAUUGAAUAUGUUGCUAUUUAUCUGAAAGUCUAUUCGUAACCAACUUUCGUGACUUCAAAACUUGUUAACCACCUUCCGUCCAUGAUACAUGCAGAUUUCUUAUGUACAUCAUGGCUUAAUUAAUAACUUCUUAGGGAAAGAAUGUCACAUGCUUUGCAUCUAAAUUGACGUGACACAUUCUUAGUAUAAACACUAUGGUUAAGUGAGUAACAAAAACACUAUGGUUAAUUGGCUUUGCUUAAUUAUUCUACUAAAAGUCAAUUAGCCUAAACAAUGACGGGCAUUUUGUCGUAUUAGUCUUUGUCAUAAAACCAAAAUUAGGAUAAUGAAAGUGUUAUAAAACUCAUCAUACUCUUAUUCUUAAAAGUCUAGUAGAACCAUGAUUAAUUUGAAAUUCCAUCCAUAAAAGAGGGUCCCACUAAAUUCUUACAAUUUGAAUUAAUGAACAAACUAAAAUAAUGUUUUUUUUUAAUACAAAGUUGAUUGGCCAAACGUGGUGUUUUGUGGAUGAGCAUUAACGUGUAGACAAACCCAACCACCUCCAACCUUCUCAAUAAGAUUUUUUAAAGUAGUAAAAUAUUUAAAUGUUAAUUUGAAUUCUGAAGGAGGGAUUUUAUUCUAAGUUAAGUUAGGAAGGACGUUGUACUUAACUUUUCCUAGGCUUCCAUUAUGUUAUUAUUUUUUCCUGAGUAGCAGCAUAUUAUAUUUUAUUUAUUUAUUUCUGUAAUACAAUAUAAUAUAACAAUAAGGAGGGUCGUCUCAGUGGUGUUAAGUGACUGUAAUCAUUUCAUGACUCCUAAACUAUACACUUAUUAGGUGUGCAAUUUUCAUGAAAUAUAUGGGUGAAUAAUGAUAUGUUUGAGUUUCAUGAUAUAGUAAAAAGUAAAAACAGGUCCAUACAUAAUUUGGCUGCUUAACAAUGACAAAGGCAGAAAGUAUCAACAUAUAAAUAUAUUUAAAUUUGUUACAUACAUGGCAUGCUGCGUAAAGUAAUUUAAAUUUAAUUUUAUAAAAUUAAAGUUACUAUAAUUGAUCAAACAAAAUCAUUGUGAUCUACAUCAAUCAAGUUCAUAUUAAAUAAUUAUUCAGUUUCCUUCUCAGAUUUGUCCAUGGUUUAAUAUUUUUCUUCCGAGUUCCAUCACAAGUAGUACUAGUUUGGACAAAAUAACCUGAAAAAAAAACGUGGCAAUCAUUCAUUGCAGGUUAAAAGGUUAAUCAGGAGUAUAAUAAAAAAAAUAAAAUAAGAUAGAUCAAACUUCAAAGUAGCUUAUAGAAAAGGAUAGAUGAAAGUAUUAGCUCACAUAAAAAAUUCCAAUUUGAAAAAAAUAAUAUCCAACGUAAGUUGGGAGGGUGAAGUGCACGCGCCUUGAAGCAAGGUGAAAGAGGACAUUAUACUAGACUAGACACAUGUUCAAAUCCUCUUGACGAAAAUGUGGAAAUUGUUAAGUCGGAUAUCGUGACUAAGAUUUAAACAAAAUAAAUAAUUUGUAACCAAUUGUUGUCUACAAUAAUAAGUAAGUAGCUCGUGUUAUUUGAAUCUUGAGAGAUGUCUAACUACUAUUCGGGUUUGAAUUUGCAAUUCUCCACUAUACUUAACAUGAGUUUUGUCUUCGUAGUGUAGAAGAAGAAAAAACAUAAGAAUUUAUUAUUAUUAUUUUUGUUGAAAUUAAUUAAUAUUAAAAAUCUAUGAAAGAGGAUGAUAUUUGGAACAUAGUGGGGUUCGGAACCGAAGCAUGUGGGAAGGAGUUAGAGAUAACCGAAGCAACAAAGAGAGGAGUAUAGUAUAAAGCAGAUACAAAAAGAAAAAGGAAGAGGUAUUUGUGUGUUGUGUACAGAGCAAAAGCCAAAGGUAACAUAACAUAACAUAACAACAUAGAAUAGAAUCUAUUAUGCUUCUAUGUUUGUAUUGAUAACACAUCACCAACUAUAAGAUCAUAGAGAGAGAAGAGAGACUUGAUCAGCUUUAUGUUCUGUGAUUAUUUCUCUUUAUUUCUUCUUCUUUGGUGAUGACAACGUUGAUCACUUAAACUUUGUCUUUAGUUGAAGGAUUAAGAAGAAUUUAAGAGGUUACAUUGUUGUUUUGUUUUGUUUUGUUAGUUUUUUGUUAUGGCAGCAUUGUCAUUUUCAGUGGCAUCUGUUGUUGAGGAUGUUCUUCAACAGCAUGGCACUCGUCUUAAAGAUCUUGAUUUGGAAUCUAGAAAAUCAGAAGAAGCUGGUAAUUAUUAUCAUUUUCUCUCUGAUAUUGGUUUUGAUGAAUUUUCAUGUGAAAUGAAAAAGGUGUGUGAAUUUUGAAAGAAAAAAUAAUGUUUGAAAUUUCAGCAUUAAGAAGAUAUGAAGCAGCAGGGUGGUUGAGAAAAAUGGUUGGAGUUGUUGCAGCUAAAGAUUUACCAGCAGAGCCUUCUGAGGAAGAGUUUAGGCUUGGUUUGAGAAGUGGGAUCAUUCUUUGUAAUGUUCUUAACAAGGUUCAUCCUGGUUCUGUAUCCAAGGUGACCAUAGUCCUGAUUUGAUUUACUAUCAAUGAUUUUUUCGUUAUUGUUUGUUUACUAAUGUAAAUUCUGUAUUUUCUUUAAGGUUGUGGAGAGUCCUGUUGAUUCUGCACUAAUCCCCGAUGGAGCGCCGUUAUCAGCUUUUCAGUAUUUUGAAAAUGUUAGGAACUUUCUGGUGGCUAUCCAGGAAAUUGGAAUUCCUACCUUUGAGGCAUCUGAUCUAGAACAAGUAUGUAAAGGAUCAAAUUUUUAUUAUUGUUUCAAAAUAUUUGAGUAAAAAAUGGUAUCAUGGUGAAUUGAAUUGUCAAUAAUACAACAUCAGAUAAUUGGGCGUUGUUUACUAUGAAAGUUCAAUAAAAUUUGACUUUGGUUUUCUGCUAUGUAAUUGAUUUAUGUUUUUAGGGAGGAAAAUCAUCAAGGAUUGUGAGUAGUGUAUUAGCACUUAAAUCCUAUAGUGAAUGGAAACAAACUGGGGCUAAUGGUGUAUGGAAAUUUGGUGGAACUAUCAAACCAGCAAUCACUGCAAAAUCUUUUGUGAGAAAAAACUCUGAGCCAUUUACCAAUUCCUUAUCAAGGACCUCUUCCAUCAAUGAAAAAUCUAUGACUUCUUUUACCUCUGAUGUCGAGUCUAAUAAAAUGGUUGGUAAGCUAUAUUUUUUACAUUUUAUAUGUGCUAUGAUUUUGUCUAGGUGAGAAGGCAGAAUAACUGAAUGAAACUUUCUUUUUUUUUAUGCUUGCAGUCUAGUUCUCAUUCUUUAGGUAUGCUUGUUCGUGCAAUACUAUUCGAUAAGAAGCCAGAAGAAGUUCCGAUGGUAAGGACUAAAGGGAUACGUUCUUUUGUGUCUCACAUAGGAAUUAUUUAUACAAAUACAAAGGAAGUACAAGGCCCUAUUUGGAUAAACCUUUUAAUUAAACUUUUAACCAUAAGUGCUUAUGUAUAAGCUAUUUCUAUAACAUUACAAGUGUUUUGGAUCUACUACAUUAUUGUGCAUCUAAAAAUUGGACAGGUAUCUAAAACAGUCAUUAAGGGGUCUCUUCCUUUUUGUUUCUGUGGCCAUUUCAUUUUCUUGAAACGCUGAAAAAUGCGCCCUAAAUGCAGAAUUGGUUAUUGACAGUCCCAUCUAGUAGUACUGCACUAGUCUCUUGCUGCUGCAUUUCAAUCUUGUCACUGAAUAAUCAUGAUACUCAGAGCGCAUUUGAGAUUACUUUCUUAAAGUAAUAUUGUUCUUCUGCAUGGAACAGUUGGUUGAAUCUGUUUUGGCAAAAGUCGUAGAGGAGUUUGAGCAUCGCAUUACAAGCCAAGAUGAACAGGUAUGAUACUUUUCACCUUUAAGUAGUGCCAUUAGCUAUUAAGUGUCAUUUUAUGCCAUUGUUUUACUCAAUUCUUAGGAAAAUAAUUAUUGUAGAAGUUGAUUUUUAUGACAAGUUAUGUUCUUUGUUAUUUAUUAUCGCAUAACACAGACAAAAACAACUUCAAGAAGUGAAAUGUCGCAAAGAGAUGGAGCUGUAGCAAAGUUUUCUAUGGCACGUAAAAAGGUAAUAGUACUUGCUUCACACUCAACUUAUUCAUAUCAUCAUAUGUAAAAUGCUUGAUUCUUAUACUGUGGUUUCCGAUUGAUUAGGUGGAUAACAAGAUUCCUAUGGUAACAAAGAAAGAGGAAUUCAUCUAUAAAAACCAUGUUGCUGACGAGGAGUCGCAGAGGCAACUUCAGAAGCAGCAAAUGCUCUUUGAUCAACGGCAGAGAGAUAUUCAAGUAGGGAGCUGCAAAGAUAUUGUUAAUCAUUUUAAAUUUGCAAUUUUUCAAUUUAUUAGUAAAAUAUUGCCAUCUUUGUGUUUUUUGUAGGAAUUAAAGCAUACAGUUCAAACUACCAAAGCUGGUAUGCAGUUCAUGCAAAUGAAAUUUCACGAGGAGUUCUCUAAUUUAGGUAAUACUUCGCUAAUAUAUGUGAUUAAUAUUGUUCAAUUCUUUUUUAUUUUGUCUUAUAAUUGUUGAACUAGACGCCUCAUCAUAGUUUAGUUUUCACCUCUCUUUAUAGGCAUGCACAUUCACGGCUUAGCUCAUGCUGCUUCUGGAUAUCAUAGAGUUCUCGAAGAAAAUCGCAAACUAUACAAUGAAGUCCAGGAUCUUAAGGGUAAUUAGAUUACUGGUUGGCUGGCUGCUUUAAAUUUCUAUUCGUGAUUUUUUACGGAUUUUAUGCCAAUAUAAUAUUAAGGUGGUUAACUUUGUUUUAUCAGGAAGUAUUAGGGUGUACUGUCGAGUAAGACCUUUCUUACCUGGACAACCAAAUCAUUCGAGUACUGUGGAGAACAUAGAAGAUGGAGUUAUCACAAUUAAUGUUCCCUCAAAGAAUGGGAAAGGGCGUAGAUCCUUCAACUUCAACAAAGUCUUUGGACCAUCUGCAGCCCAAGGUUGGUUUCCUUUUCAGUUAUCUAUUAUCUGCAAGAUUACUAUAUUUUAGUAUAUGAUAGAAUUUUUUCUCUAUUGUGUUCAGGGGAGGUCUUCGCUGAUAUGCAGCCACUUGUUAGGUCUGUGCUCGAUGGUUUUAAUGUUUGCAUAUUUGCUUAUGGCCAAACAGGAUCAGGAAAAACUUUCACCAUGGUAAGAUACAGUUGAGGUUAUCAUCUGAAUCUUUUUGAAAAUUUCCCUGUUAAUUUUGUUGAAAUGCAGAAUGGACUUAAAAAAUAAUCGUAAUAUACAGUUGAAAUUGUGACCUUGAAUAUUUUGAUGAUGUUUUUCGUAUUUUUUGUAUUUGAAAUGUAGACUGGACCAAAAGAGAUCACAGAAAAAAGCCAAGGUGUAAAUUACAGGGCUCUAAGUGAUCUGUUUUAUACAGCGAAUCAAAGAAAGGACACUUUUCGCUAUGAUGUUUCUGUUCAGAUGAUUGAAAUAUAUAAUGAGCAAGUCAGAGAUCUAUUGGUUACUGAUGGAACAAACAAAAGAUAUCCUUUUAGUUGUUACAUUAAAAUUGUAGAAUAUAUAACCAAUUUCUUCUUUGAUUUUUGUUUUUAAAUACCAGUUAUUCUAACAAUGAAAUAAGCCUUUAUUGGUGGUGCUUUCCCUUAACCAUUCAUACAUUAGAAAUUCGUAGUAACUCUCAAAGAGGGCUAAGUGUACCAGAUGCAAGCCUUGUUCAAGUAUCAUCAACAAAUGAUGUUAUUGAACUGAUGAACCUGGGUCAUAAGAACCGCGCAGUCGGAGCAACAGCCCUUAAUGACCGUAGCAGCCGAUCUCACAGGUGUAUAUCCUAUUUAUUGUCUUGUUUUCCACAACUGUUUUUGUGACAUUUUUGUUAUACAUUACUUGACUAUUGACUUCUUUAAUAUAUAUUUGGCAGUUGCUUGACUGUACAUGUUCAAGGAAGAGACUUGACAUCUGGAGCUGUCUUACGCGGAUGCAUGCAUCUGGUUGACUUGGCAGGAAGUGAGAGGGUCGACAAAUCUGAGGCGACGGGUGAUAGAUUGAAAGAGGCACAGCAUAUUAACAAAUCUCUUUCAGCUUUGGGUGAUGUCAUUGCUUCUCUUGCUCAGAAAAACCAACAUGUCCCUUACAGAAAUAGCAAACUCACACAAUUACUCCAAGAUUCACUUGGUAAGUUUUAAGAAGUUGGUUUGCUACAUUUUCGACUGCUGUAUUCUUUUCUAGUCCUCAGUUAUACAAUUCUAUUAAGUUUGUGUUUUUCAUUAUGUUGUUUGGGCAAACUUCAGGAGGACAGGCCAAGACACUAAUGUUUGUUCACAUUAGUCCCGAGGCCAAUGCUGUUGGAGAAACAAUUAGCACAUUAAAAUUUGCAGAAAGAGUUGCUACAGUUGAACUUGGUGCUGCCCGAGUCAACAAGGAUGGGGCAGAUGUCAAAGAGCUCAAAGAACAGGUUUUUUUUCCGAAAUUUGACCUCCUAGUUCUUCAUAAUAGUCUUAUGAAGCCUUACCUCGUCAGUUAAGUUAAAAAAAUUCAAUCCUGUUUCAGAUUGCCAGCCUUAAGGCGGCAUUGGCAAGAAAGGAAGGAAAUUUAGAACAUUCUAUAUCUGGAAGCUCUGGAAAAUGUAGGACAGCAGCUAGUGAACGGUCACCUUAUCAUGCAAGCCAGCGGGCUGCAGAUAUCAUGGAUGAUCCCUUUGGAUGCCGGCAACCAGUGAUUGAUGUUGGCAACUUAGAGGUAUGUAUAUUUUUUGUUGUUGAUAAAAAAAUUAUUUCCCUGAUUUUACAAAAUGAUAUCUUAUGGAAAUUUAUUUGGGUGAUCCCUUUGGAUGCCGGCUAUUCCUUAUUGAUAUCUUAUGGAUAUUUUAAACUGGUUAUGCAGCUUCUGAGCAAUACCAUAUCGAGACAAAGAACUCAAAGCUUUGAUUUUGAUGAGACAUUAACAAAUUCACCACCCUGGCCCCCAGUGAAUAGUCUUGUUCAAAAUUGUGUGGAAGACGAUAAAGAAACCGGUACAGGAGAGUGGGUUGAUAAGGUUAUGGUAAACAAGUUAGAUGUGAACAAGACCGGCAACAUGUUAGGGUGUUGGGAAGCAGAUAAUGGGAACUUAUCUGAGGAAUUUUAUCAGAAAUAUCUUCAAGAUUCUUCCAAAGUAUACUCGGAACGAUCCUAUAAUAUGUUCAUGAGAGGCAACCAGUUUAACAUUGCUGGUUCGGAUGACACUGAUGAUGUCGAUGCUGCAACCAGUGAUUCCUCAGAACAUGACUUGCUUUGGCAAUUUAAUCAUUCGAAAGUUACAAGCGUAGCCAACGGAAAUGAAUCAAAGGGUAGGAGAUUUGUCACAAAGUCAGCUAAAAGCACAGAAUUGAGGUAAUGCAAUAUGCUCCUCUUUAAUAAUGCUCAUAGGGUUCACUUAGAUAUGUUACUAUGAGUUUAAUAUUUAUACACCGUCAGUGUUUACAUAUGUCAACUAAUUUAAUGAGUUUAAAAACACAUAGUUUUUCAUUCUCGAGAAAUAAUGUAUAAACUUAUCAUUGAACACAUGUAAAAUAUUAGCAGUGUUGCCUGUGCAUACAAUUUUGAACAUGUUAUUAUUCAUAUUAAUGAUUUUUUUUGCAAUUUUUGCAGCAAGAAUAGCAUUCAUUCUUCUACUGCUCCUUCACCUUCAAGGAAACAAACAAAUGGUGUCGCACAUCGAACACCAACAAGGCAACCAGCUCCAGUUGACAUGAAACGUAAAACUGGGACUAGAAAGUGAACAUGUCAUUUCCUGUUAAGCAUUUUAAAAGGGUGAUUUUUUUUUUUUUCCUUUUAUUAUUUGUUUGUUCCUUCACAAUUUUUUAGUUCGAGGGGAGAGCUUUCACACAAAAGAAAAAAAAAUCAUAUAUAUUUUUUUUGCUGGGUUUAUGCUUGUAAUAGUUUUGUAAUUUGUUGUAUUUACACAGAUAAUGGAGCAAUAAUGCCCGUUGCUUGUACAUGGCAUGACAUUCUUUUAUUUAACAUUAGAGCUUUCAGGUUUUGUAAAAAUUGCAACAAUUGUCUGAUUUGAUUUGCUACUUCCAGUCAAAUUUAUCUCUUAUCUCCUCUUGGUUUUCCCCCUUUCUCUUAAAUUGCUGUACUUUAUAUUAAAUUUUCUCACUUUUAUUACGUUGAUAUUCUCGUUUGAAUUUUGGCUACGCGGUGAGUGUCAAACAAGCAACAACAAAUGGCAUAUGAAUUAAUUUGUAAGAUAUUCUCAAAAUUAACCUAGUAUUAUGUAUGAUUCUAUAAUGCCUACACAAUGCUAAACGGCGGCUUGACUAUGGUUUUCCCUAGUAGACGGUGUUUGACGAGUAAAUCAGUUGUCCUUCCACGUAAUCUGUAAAGCUUACGCUGCGAAUGCUUCACUUUCCUCAAUAGCUCGUGAAGAGCAGUAGAUAUCAGAGUUCCCUUGGAUAGUUGGAUCUGAAUGCAUCCCCUUGGAACCUCAUGGUUGUUUAUUGUUAAAUUUGUUUCGUGCUCAAUAUCUUACUGACCUGAUGUGCUACUGUAUCCACAGUCCAGACGACAGUGGUAUAGGCAUACGAACCUUGACCAUAUAUCUCGUAUCAUAGCCUAGAAACCCAACCAUAUCAUAUCAUGCUACUUAGUAUGUCAUUCAUAUCAUGUUCAAAUCAGUGUUUGAUCAUAUUCGACAUCACAAGUCUAAACUCUCCUUCAAGUCAACAAGGGAUUGAGCACUUGCUAAACCACCAAACCAAUGUUCAUCACUUUCACCCCAAACCCAUAUGGAUGUGAUUAACUAGUAUUUCCACCCGUGCAACGCACGGGCAAACAAUCAUUUUUCGUGGCUUUAACAUAUUAUUACUCUAAACAUACCACCUAAAUACAAAUUUAUAAGGGGGCGUUUGUUUCCCUUCUGAAAAAAAUAUUCCCAGGAUUCUUACGUUGGAACUAAACAUGUCUUUGUUUGGUAGAUAAGAACAAAAAAAUAAGCCCAGGAAUAAAUAAUUCCUAGGAACAAAAAAACGCCCAUGUUUACCCACGUUCUCCUCAAUUUUAUUCCCAUGAGAUGGGGUUGGGAAAACUUUAUUCCCGGUAACCAUAAACCCAUGAGAUGAAAUGAAAAUCCAUUAUUACCCUUUUAUUUCACCAUCGUAACAAACUGAAAUGAUGAGGAUCCCUUAUAUUGUUGAAUUAAUGUUAGUUAAUGAGUCAAUAAAGUGAUUGAAAACUCUCUAAUACUAAAUGCAAUUGCAUCACCAGUGUAUAAAUAAUAGAGUACGUAUAAGUUCUUGACCCAAAAAAAAAAAAAAUUACGUAUAAGUUGCUUUAUUGUCUACAUGGACUAGACUCCAUUUUCGUAAAGCAUAUGCAUAAAAAUAACAAUGCAGAAAGGAUCGGAUUGACAUCAUUUACAUGUGGUUACUUGCUGAUUGAUUUCCUUGAAUGCUUCUUUGUAGAAUUUUCUUUUUCCAGUUCAUGUUUAAUUAGUUGGUUUUCUAUUUCUUAUUAAACGGGUAAAAUUGGAAUUACAUCAUUCAUUUUCAGGAACAAAUUUUGCAAUACAAACACAUUUCAAUUAUUCUCAGUUUCUUUUUUAAUAAAAUUCCCAGGAACAAAACUAUUUAACCAAACACUUUUUUCAUAUUUUCCUAGGAAUAAAAAUCACACCUUUAUAUUCCAGAAAAAGAUAAUUCCUGGGAAUAAAUUGUGUAUCCAUGAAACAAACGCACCCUAAUGUGUGGUUAGAGAAAACAGAUUAUGUUGUCAUCAUAAAAUUCAAUAUGUCAUUGAUUAAAAUUUACUUUGAUGCUAUUAAAAGCAAUUACAUAUCCUUGAUAAAUAACAAUGAAUACUCGUUUUGCCCUCUAAAUAACAAAAAAAAAAGUAGUCAAUACUUUCAAUAGCAAUUAAUCCAAAAAAAAAAAAAAAUCUUGUGGAAGAUAGAUGCAUCAUCUCUAUUUAGCUCCAAAGUUAUCUACAACAAUAACCAAAGGUUUUUGCACCAUAUAAAUCUAAAUUCAAUAAUUCAAAUUGACAAUUGAGCUUAGAAUAUAGACAAAUUCAUACCUGAUAAGAUAAUUUCUACAACCAAUACCCUUUGUGCAACCAAUACCUUCUUUGUGCAACCAAUACCCUUUUAUUUGAUUGUCAGAUAGCUUCUCGAGAUGAUCCUUGACCAUUACUCAAUCCUUUAUAUUAAGGAGCUUUGAUAACACCCCGACAAUAUUUUCUAAGAAAAUGAAAGAGAAAAACAUGAUCUCAAUGUGAAAAUGAGAGAAAUGAACACCGUAUUUAUAGAUCAACCUCACGCUACAAGAAAUGUCUUUUUUUUUUAGAGAACAAGAAAUGUUGUAUGUGGCGCAAAGGAUCUCACAUCUUUUCGUGCUCCGCAAGUAACUCUCGUGACACGAAAUUAUUCUUUAUUAUAUUUUUUAAUAUUUAUAAAUUUGUUAAAAUGACAUAUAAUUUGAGACGGAGAGAAUGAAUUUUACAUAUUUUUACGAAACUUAUACUAAGGAGAUAAAAAAAACUAUAUUCUAAAUUAUUAUAUAUACAUUUUUUUUUUGGGUGAAAAUUUAUUAUAUUUUUUUUUUGUCAAAUAGCCUAGUGGCUAGAACUCACACAAUUUAAUUGUGGAGAAGUGGAGUGUCCGGGGUUCGAACCCCGGCUCCUGCAUAUAAAAUGCAAUAUACUACCAACUAAGCUAAGCUCACGGGGAUAAUUUAUUAUAUUUUUUAAAAGACCAAAAUAUUAUGUUUUAAUUUUCUUAAUGGUGGCAAUUUAGAUAAACUUGUUUAGUUUUUUUUUUUAAAAAAUUAAUAAUUUGAGAUGGAGAAAGCAUUAAAUAAAGUGCAAGUUGGAAGAAGGCUGCGGCGUCGCGUACCCUGAUUGGUGAUUUACCCAUCAUUUUCACUGUUGCACUAAUCAGACUAUUCCAUUUCUCUCCAUCACCACCAUCCAAACUCUUUCAAUGGCGCUCUACGUUCUAUCACGCCGUUUAUCAACCAAAUCAACCUCACCAACACUCUUCACCUUUCGUUACUUCUCAUCAACCACUACCUUCAGAGAAGAACGCGACACAUUCGGACCCAUUCAAGUUCCCUCCGAUAAACUAUGGGGAGCACAGACUCAACGAUCUUUGCAGAAUUUCGAUAUCGGUGGUCCCCGUGAACGUAUGCCUGAACCUAUCAUUCGCUCUUUCGGCAUCUUGAAAAAAUGCGCUGCUAAGGUUAUUUUUCGUUUUUUAUUUUUUGAAAAUUGUGUUAUUGUAUGGAUUUGAUUGAUGAAAUGUGAUUUAGGUUAAUAUGGAGUAUGGUCUUGAUCCUACUAUUGGAAAAGCGAUUAUGAAGGCCGCGCAAGAAGUUGCUGAUGGAAAGCAUAAUGAUCAUUUUCCUCUUGUUGUUUGGCAAACUGGAAGUGGUACUCAAAGUAACAUGAAUGCUAACGAGGUUUGUAUCAUCCUACGUUUGGAUUUAUUUAUGAAAAUUUGAUUUUGGCUUAUUUGUUGACAAUGACCACUUGUUUUGGAGAGAUUAUGAAAAUAGCUUUUGGUUAUGUUUGGUUGGCUUACUUGAGCUUAUAUGGCAUAAACAGACUAAGUGAUUGGACUCAAGAGCUUAUAUAGAAACAGCCAAUGGCAUGUCCAUAAGUUGUUUUCAGCUUAUUUCCAUAAGCUUUGCAGGAUAGUUUAUGAAAACAACUUAUAGCUUGUAUGAGAAUGGUUGGACUUUAUUUUAUCUUUUGUUGCAGAAUUAGUUUAUACAUAAGAACUUAUAUAAUAACUGUUCUUAGAAAUCGUGGUUGGGUCUAACACAACCCCACAGAACCGGCUGGUAAGUUGAGGAUUGCCUCCACUUAUAAACACAUUGUCAGGCUAUCUCCUAUCCGAUGUGGGACUCUUCACACCCCGUCACGACCAGCACUAUUGGGCUUGGUUCGUGGACAUAAAUGGUGGGUGGUCCGAUAGUGGAAACCUGAUAGCAGGUGGCCCAAUGGACCUUGGAGGAGGCUCUGAUACCAUCUUAGAAAUCGUGUUGGGCCUAACACAACCCCACAAAACCGGUUUGUGAGGUGAGGAUUGCCCCCACUUAUAAACACGUUGUCAAGCCAUCUCCUAUCUGAUGUGUUACUCUUUAACAACUGUCUACUAUAAGCGUUUAAUUAAGUUGCUUAUCCAAACAGGACCCAUGUCAUGUUUAUGUGCUGUCUUUGUUGAUUUUAAUAAGCUCUUCACGAUAGCGUGUGAAAACAGUCUGCAACUUAUAUGAAAACAAUUUAACUAAUUUUUCUUCUUCUUUAGUUAUGAACUUAUAUGAUAAGUGUUUAAUUAAACUAUUUAUCCAGAUGUACUCUCAUGACUAUUGUGUGGCUGUGCCGAACUUGAAGGUCUUGUUAUUGAAAUUAUUAUACCCCAUGUUUAAGGAUCUUAGAUUACUGAACUUAUGACAGUAAAAUAAAUAUUAAUCUGUAUUGUAUAUCAUAGAUGGUUGUGCUAAAGACUUGAGAAUCUAUUUAGUUUUUCCCAGUUUCUGUUUAUUUUGGACAGUGAGGAUAAUUUGACUUACAUAACCUUUCCAUUUGAUCACUGCAGUGGCCUAUUAUGAAAUAAGAAAGUUUGUGGUUGAAUCCUUUUCAGGUUAUUGCAAACAGAGCCUCAGAGAUUCUUGGCCAUAAGCGCGGUGAGAAGUUUGUGCACCCAAAUGACCAUGUCAAUAUGUCACAAUCUUCUAAUGAUACAUUUCCAACUGUAAGUCGUUUGUACAUCUUAUGCAAUUUCAUCUUCAAAAAUUUCUUGUUAAUCACUUUUUGUGGAGUGCAAUUCCUUGUAAACUGUUUCUUAUUUCUUUAAUAUAUGUAUGUUUCUCUCUUUCCAGGUGAUGCACAUUGCCGCUGGAACUGAAAUAAACUCAAGACUAAUCCCCAGCUUGAAGACAUUACAUGCUACACUUGACGCAAAGGUUUGAAUUGUAUAUGUUUAGACAAGUUAUAAUACAUUUAGAAAACUGAAACAAAUUUUUGCUAAUCUUUCAUUGCCUGUGAUCCUUUGUAUGGAAAUUACAAUUUAGCAAUUUUGUGUGGUUGCCUGAGGGUAUAAGACUUCUGACAUGGCAGGGAGGGGCUCUAUGAAUGUCUAAUGUCUAUAUCUGGUUUAAAAACUGCAGUUAGCUGAACUGUUUCUGUACCGCGAUUGACCAAACCAUUUCAAACUAAGAAAACCGGAUUAAAUAUAAGCGGAAUUUAGUGGUCAGGUUUACUUCAGUGUAUUUAAAUUCAGUUUAUUAGUUUAGCACAGUUCUGUUUUUUUUUUUGCCCACCUCUACUGUUAACUCAUGUGCCAUCCUGGUAAGGCGGGAACUUUGAGUUGUUUACAUUAGACCUGACAUGCUUCCUUCAUGCUAUGUACUAUGUAAAACUCUAUCAUAUAAAUGUGAAAAUCAUGCCAGGUUAACAUGUUAUUCACCUAACCUGUUCUUAUGGCUCUGGUCAUUUUACAGAUCCAAUUCUGAUAUUAUCAGUACAUGUCUCCCUUUGUUGAAUCCUUGCAACUUGCAUGAUUAAUUAUUUUCUGGUCUUGUGGUUUUGGCUGGCUCUUUCUUGCAAUGUUCCUUUUGGUCUAUCAUAUAUGCAAUUUUCAUUUGCAAACAAUAUAUUGUGACAGGAAACAUUUUAGUAACCUCGUAACUUUCAUAAAAAUUUUCUUUAUCUUAGUCUCUAAGAUGGAAUUUUAUAAACUAGAGACACUUGUGUUGCAAUUGUUUCUCCUUAGAUCCCAUUUAUCAGUGUGUUGACUAUAUCAGUAUUAACUUACUUUGUGCUUUUAUUUAAAAAAAUUUUUUUUUACCAGUCGAUUGAAUUUAAAGAUAUAGUCAAGAUUGGGCGCACUCAUACUCAAGAUGCUACACCUUUGACUCUCGGACAGGAGUUUAGUGGGUAUACUACACAAGUAAGCUUACUUUCAUUUGGUUUUUGAUGUUGUGUAUUUUGUUUAUCAUUGCCUCAUUAGUAUGCUUUGUAAAAUCAUGACAGUUUGUGGGGAGGGGUUUCUCACAACUUUUUCCUUUAUUGACAGCUGAAGUAUAGUCUUGAUCGUGUGAUUACCAUUUUGCCGCGUAUGUAUCAGGUUUGAAACUCAAGCACAAACUUUAAAUUCUUGUUCUUCACCUGUAUGAUUCUGGAGUUCUGACUUAGUAGUUGUUACUUGAGCAGCUUGCCCAGGGUGGUACCGCUGUAGGGACUGGAUUGAAUACAAAGAAGGGGUAUGCAUGCUUCCUGAUCGCUAAGCACUUGUUUUUCUCAUAUUUGACAGCUACCAAAAUGAAAGUUAUAGCGUCUUUCUUUUCACUCCUUUUGGCAUAUUUUAUUUGAUAUGAGCUUUUUGUCCGGCAAUUGUUUCCUACUAUCAUCAAAUACCUAAAAGUAUGGACUCUACCGGAAUAGUAGUGCAUGUGCAUUUUUCAUGUUUGGCUUUAAAUUAUAAUGGAUGUAAUUGUUGAAAAUUAGACAACAUUUUCUCUGAAGAUCUUAUGGAUAUGAUAUGGGUUCGUUUUAUCAUAAAAAUUGAUGUGCUAGGGCAGCCUGUUUAAGCUGAAAAAAACAUGUGGUUUAACUUAAAGGAAGUAAAUUUGGUUAAACAGUGAUAAUUUGCUGGAUGAUUUCAGGUUUGAUGUUAAGGUGUCACUAGCAGUAGCUACGGAAACAAAUCUGCCCUUUGUAACAGCAGAAAAUAAGUUUGAGGCUUUGGUUUGUCGCUAAAACUUUUUAUUUUCCUUGUCUUUAAUCUGUCUGGUGCUCUUUUUCAUCACGCUAGUUUUUUCCGCAUAUCUUGGUAUCUUGCAUCAUAUGCAGAAAAAUAUUGACUUGCAGUGCGUUCUUAUUCCUCCAUUUUCAGGCUGCCCACGAUUCUUUUGUUGAAACUAGUGGAGCCCUCAACACAAUUUCGGCUUCUUUAAUGAAGAUAGCUAAUGAUAUACGGUUAUUAGGAAGGUAGAAUGCUAGAAAUCUAACUGACAAAUUGCUUUUAUAUGACUGUGCAUGUGUUUGUGUAGAAAACAAUUCUUUAAUGGGUGUUAUGGAUUCUAUCUUAUUGUAGUGGUCCCCGUUGCGGUCUUGGUGAACUCAUUCUUCCUGAAAACGAACCGGGAAGCAGUAUUAUGCCUGUAAGAACCUCAUGCUUAGUUAAUAUACAUUUGUGGCAAGAGUUUUUUUAAUUGUUACUACUAUAGCUUAUUAUUUUGUUAGCCUUAGAAUUGGGAUUUGAUUCAUGCCACAACCUUAUUCUGUUUCAGGGGAAGGUUAACCCUACCCAGUGUGAGGCUUUGACUAUGGUCUGUGCACAGGUAAUUAUCAAUUCACUCUUCAUUUUAUUUAAAAUACUCGUGUUGUGAAUUUUGACUUGCAAAAAGCUUGUACGACUUGUAAUACAGUUACGCAAUUUGAAUUAUAUGGUUGCUAAUAGGGUCCAUGGUAGGGGGUAGGGGUGAUACAUAAAAUAUUGACAGUUUACAGUUACACUAACAAAGAGAAACAGAACAAGAUGGCAAGCUGGUGUGAGGGAGGGAGCUAGUUAUGUUAGUGAGGUGGUUGAAGUUUGUUAGAGGAAAGAGUGUGUCCGUUGGUAGUAUUAGGAGGAAAGUGCUGAGCUGAAGAGAAGGACAAGAUUAAGAGAAGGACAAGAUUUUUUAGCAUAAGGCUGGGUAUGCAAGGGGAAUAGUCUCUCUGUUGGAGCUUUGAGCUCGGGGAAUCACUGUUGAAUUUCCUUGAAUAUUGAAUAAUACAGUUAUUCGUGCUCUUUUUUAUAAAUUUCCUUGCAAUUAUAUCCUUCAUUUUAGUUUUGGUUGGCUAUUUAGUUCCUUAACAGUGACUAAAUUUCUGAAUAGAUGUUAUGAUCAUGUGCUUCAGGUCAUGGGAAACCAUGUUGCAAUCACUGUGGGAGGAUCAAAUGGUCAUUUUGAGCUCAAUGUAUUCAAGCCAGUGAUUGCCAGUAAUCUCCUGCAAGUAUGUUUCAUAUCCUUUAUUUUGUUAUGUAUGUUAUUUCUAACUUAUAAAUCAUGCAAACGAGGAACUUCUACCUAGGUUUUAACUUGGUUCAAAUAUGUUACCUUACCUGAUUCUAGGUUGAUGUAAACUUGAUAAUGUGUAUAUAUAUUAGUAUAAUAUUAUCUAAAAGCAGCUGAAUCAUUUUCUAUUUAGUUGUACUUGAACUUUUUGAACUGGUCUAAGCUUGGUGCAUAAAAAGAAGUUCUGUGCAUUGGAGCAAAGAUUAAAUUAAAUACUAUAUUUCCUUUCUGUCAGUUUGGCAACGUAUAUUUCUCUGAUGAAAGUCAGAUGGACUUGGCUAGAAUGUUGCACAAACUCUUUGCUAUGUUGGCAAAGUAGAAAAUGGGAAGGAAAGAUACUUCAGAUAUGUUGUGUUUAUUUAGGCUGCUUGUAUGUUUUUGUGAUGACAUGGUAAUAGUAUAUAUAUAUAUAUAUGGUAGUGUCCAAAAAAAGAAGAUAAAUCCAGGCCGUGUGAAUGAACGGGCACCUGUUGGCUUUUGUUUUGAUUCCAAAUUUAUGCAAUAUGGAAUACCUUAAAGAUGUACUUAAAUGCUCACGAUAUUUAUUUUGAUUCUGUAGUCGGUGAGACUGCUUGGAGAUUCAUGUGCUUCCUUUGAAAAGAAUUGUGUAAGAGGUAUUCAAGCUAAUAGAGAAAGAAUUUCAAAGCUAUUGCAUGAGGUGAGUUGACUACUUGUUUGCAUUUUGAAACAAAAUGUGUAUCAAAUCUCCAAACCCUUAUCUAAUGCAUGUUGUUGUUUCACUUUUCAUUCACCCUUCCAGUCACUCAUGCUGGUCACAUCCUUGAACCCGGUAAGUUUCCUCCUGUCUUCUCCUGUAGCUCACUAAAUUUCACAUGCGUUUGAAACUGAGUUUAAUUUGUCUGUUCCAGAAAAUUGGUUAUGACAAGGCAGCUGCAGUUGCCAAGAAAGCCCACAAAGAGGGGUCUACACUUAAGGUGAUGAUGUUGCCUAGUUAUUCUUGUUUUUUCUGUUUCUCUUCAGCAAUUUGACCCCUCUCUAUGAAUAUUUAAAAGAAAAUGACAUUAAUUCUUAACAAAUUCUAUGUUAGAAGCAUAUACCUCUAAAAGUACCAUUUCGACUCUUAUAUUGGUUUGAGUAUCAUUGACACUAGUAUAGUUUGUAUGGAUGAAUUUAUUCCUAUUACAUGAUUUCUACAUACUGGUUCAACAAAUUUUCUGAAGUAUUGAAAUUGAAAUGAUGAUCAGGAAGCUGCAUUAAAGCUUGGAGUGCUGACUUCUGAAGAGUUUGACAGUCUUGUGGUUCCCGAGAAAAUGCUUGGCCCAAGUGAUUGAUUAGCAUAUGAUGAUGUAUUGUUUUAAUAAUUAUUGGCUCCUCAUCAGCUACGUUGGAUUAAUAUUUUUGAAGCGUACCCAUUGAAUGAAUUGGGAAAUAGAAAUCCAAAUAACCAAUGAUUUUGACUUUCUUAGCAGACAUUCUUGAGGAAAAAGAUUCUCCAAAUUUGUAACGAGGCAACAAAUAAAGGAAAAGUUUUGCUCACUGUCUUUGAUUUAUAUUUUCGUUUUGAUUUUCUAGUCCCUCGAUUUAAGCAUGAGAAGUAUUAAUAAAUCACUCUUUAAGAUACUUCUCUUUGAUUGUUUAAAUUUCACACGAGUCUCACCAAAUCUUGUUAGUUGUGGUAAGAGUGAAAUCCGAGAGUAAGGAUCCUAACUUGAAAUCCGUGGCAUGAAAAGGGCAUGUAAUUAAGAGUGGAGAACAUAAUUUCUAAUGUUUGAGUCUGAUGUCAACAAAACAUCUAAAAUCGAAAACUGAAAGUUUUUGGAUAAUCUUAUAUUUUUGGCAGAAAACAAUGAUAGUGUAAAUUGGGCUGAUAAAGCUAUUAGAUAUUCCUUUCAGAAAAAGAAAAGGAAAAAAAACUACUCCCUCCGUCCCUUAAUAAAUGACCUAGUUGACAGUAUGCAUUAUUGACUUGAUAUAUUUUGACCAUACUUUUCUACUAAUUCACAAAGAUAAAUAAUAUCAUGUAAGAUGUUGUUGGAUUCGUCUCGAUGAGUAUUUUUAAAAUAUUAAAUUUUUAUAAUUUUUUUUAGUAGAGAAUUGAAGAUAUCAAAGAUAAAACAUAUGCAUUGGUAUGUGUGUCAGAGUCAACUAGGUCAUUUAUUUAGGGACGUAGGGAGUAUUAGAUAUUAUUAUUAAAGAAAGCUAUUAGACAUUGAGACGUUCUGAUUUGGAUUUCUUGUGAAUGUGGAAAGUCGCGAAUUCUCAAAACGAAUGCACAUGGUAUUUUUAUUUGAGCAAUAUAAUGAUAGAACUUUCUUUAUUUCUUUAACAUGAUGAUUAAUUUGGCAUGGAGUAUCAUGUAAAUAAUUAGAUGACGGAUUGAAAAAGGGUAAUUUAUGUCGUGCGGGAAAAUUAAAUUUCUUUUCUUCAAGUGAAGCAAUUUUGUCUGAUUUUACUUAGUUACAUUUUCGGUUGAAUCCCUGAUUAACAAGACCUUCCCCACACCAACAAAACAAAAUGAAAGAAAAAGGCACGAUGUGAUUUCAACAUGGUAAAUUACAUGUUGAUUCGAGAAAACCACCUGAAGGGCACUGUUAAGUAUGAACAAAACAAAUGUUCUUCCAAAUUUUAAAAAAUUUCUUUUGCGAGCGUGUAGUAUAGCAUUCUGACCAUAGUAACCAAGUCUUUACUGCGUGCAUUGUUUGCAUAUGGCUGCUUUGAGAGGAGUAUGUGAUGCUGCAGUAAGGUUCAACUUUGGAACUUUAUUGAACAAUAGCGUAUUCCUUUCGCAACCGGUUUGAACUUUAUUCAAUACAUGAUCAACAAGAAUGAAAAGUAGAAAUCAAAUGGUUUGAAAUGCAGCUAAUUUUUGCUUUGACAAUGUCAUACUUGAAUGAAAAGAUUGUUUAGUGUUUGUCAUGAGAUUAAUAUUUCUGGGUAUAAAGAUUCGUAUACAUGAAAUAACUUUGACAUUAUCAAGAAAAAUGACGAUUCCCAUGAUAAGGAAAUGAACUAGUAUGUAUUUUCAAGCUUCAUUAAUACACUUGGUGAUACAAAAUAUUGACAAACGUUUUCCACAAGUGCACAAACAGAAUUUCUAAAAUUAUCUUAUUGACGAAAGCAGAGUUUCUAUAAACAUUUUUGAGAAGUUAUUCAUAAAAACAAUUAACAACAUAAAACAAAAGCGUCUCUAAGACGUAGUUUCAUAGAUUCAAUCAACACUUCGUAUAGUGGAGACUGAAUUGAUUAAUAGAGAGAAACAUGGCUUCAUCAAUUAUAUCCUGUAAAUAUGCAAGAGCAAAAGUGUGGGCACACGCAUGUGUUUGGUUUAGUGGUGGCAACUGCAGCAGAGUUUAGGCCUUAUGCACAGCCAUGAUUUUGGUGUUUUUCAAACACUCAAGUAAAGAUCUGGAUAUGUAGUAUGUCUAGCUUAAUUUAGAAGCAAGGAAUUUCAUAAUUGGAAUAUAAAAUAACAAUAGUAUUUCUCAACAAAGUGCAUUUCCAUACCAAAAUGGCAGCAAAAUAUAAACCCAAUACAAAAUUGUACUUGUACAGCUGAAAUUUAGGAUAAAACUUAUGCUAUAAAAUUAAAAUACUCGACCUCUGGAUACUUGAUUUACUUCUUGGAUUUCUUUGAUGGUCUGCACCAAAAACACACAUUUAGACCACAAAAUAACACAAAAAACUAAACCAAGUAACAAAAGUGUUUAGAUGCUUACUGGGCCUGGGUUGCUGUUGCAGCUGAUGCGGCUGGUGCUGCAGCUGCAGGAACCUUCUCUCCUGGACCCUACACAUUUUAAAAGGCAGGGUGAUAUGGUCAAUUUUAGAGUGACAAAUUUAGUCUAAAUGCAGUGAUAAAAUAAUACCAAUUCACUUCAUAUAUUAUCAAGACAUUAUGGAACUCACUUGAGCAAAGCGCUCUUCUCUCCGGGCAUGCUUCCUUUCCCUGCUAGCCUUAUUCUUCGCCCUCUUGGCCUCAAACUGAUCAGAUAAUGUCUUCUCCCUAGCCUUCUCAGCCUUGGAUUUGUGAAUACUCUCCAUAAGGACUCUCUUGUUCUUGAAGACAUUUCCCUUCACCUUCAUGUACAUAUCAUGAUACAUAUGUUUGUCAAUCUUCUUUGCCUCUCGGUACUUGCGAAGCAAACGCCUGAGGACACGCAUUCUCCUCAUCCAAAGGAUUUUGGUGGGGAGCCUAGCCUCUCUUGUACCCUUUCUCUUUCCUGGUCAUCAUCAAUAAGCGGAAAUUAUAAUCAGAGAAUAACAAUGAUGCCUAUCCUGCUAAUGCGGGUACUAUAGAAAUACUUGUGUGAUGGUACAAACAGUAAUAGAUCACAUGCAUAUGCAGAAUGUAUAUAACUUGCUUAACAUUCUGCACAACUGAUUAACUAAUCUUGCAAACUAUAUAGUGCUAGUAACCAUAGUAAUACUCGUGUGAUGGUGCAAACUGCAAACAGCAAUAUGUUACAUACAUUUUCAGAAUGCAUAUAACUUUCAUAUCCUAGAAUACUCUGCACAACUAAUUAACUAAUUCUAUUCUAUAAUGUUUAAAUGACGAUGACUUCACAAGCAGACAAGCACUACCUAACAAACUAACAGAGAUUUGUCAACAUCUUUAUCCUUCAAUUCAUUAAAACUAUCAAGGUUUAAAAUAGUUAACUACCAUAUCCAGAAUGACGUCCCUUCCUCUUGGCCUCCUUCAUGCGCCUAGCACGGGAGCGGGAGUGAAUCUUAGUUGGCUUCCUGAUAAUGAAGCCAUCCUUAACCAACUUCCUGAUGUUUUGGCCUGCAAAGAGAAACCAGUCAGACCAUUUAAAUAAAUUGAACAAAUAACAUACAGUAUCACAGACUCCCACCACAUAUGAUAAAAAAAAUAUACAUCAGAUGCAUACCAAUCAGCAAUUAACACAAUAAAAAUCUCAACAAUGAAAAUUUCAUUACAAAAAUGAGUUAAGGGAAUAGUUUUCACCGACAACAAAAAUGAGAACCCACAAGUAAAUUGGGCAUUUUGAUCUCCACUAAGUUCAUAUUAGGAUACAAUAAAAAACAACAAUGAAAUCCAAUAAAAGCCCCAAUUUUUUCAUUUAAAAAGCUGAAUUGAGCAUCCCAAAUCAUAAAGGCAGAUAAAUAAGAGAAUGAAACACAAACUAUAUAUCUAUAUCCUUAAAAACUAGCUUCUGAAAUUAAAUAUUUUAUAAGUUAAAAUCCAAAGCAACUAAAUCCAUAUCCACUCUUAAAUCUUAAAGAAGUCACAAUAUUUCAAUGUUUUUUUGAGGGAUUUUUUCUACCCUAGUUUUUCUUUUUCCUACAAGUUCUGCUAUUGAACACCGCAACACAAGACACCUUACAUUUCCGAACAAAAAAACAUAGUACAAAAAUAAAAUAAAAAUAAAACAUUUCAUGACCAACACAAACAGUUCAAAACAUGUUCAAAACUGAUUAACAUAAAUCAAAUCAAAACCCAGAAACAUUAGAGAGAGAGAGAGAGAGAGAGUUACGUGAAUUAGCCAUGGAGAUUUCAUUGCACUCAUUAGGGUCAAGCCAGACCUUGCCACGACCACACUUGAGUACGCUGGCGGCGAGCCGCUUCUGAAGUUUGAGCGACACCAUCUCUCUCUCUCCCUCAAACUCUCUCUGGUUUGAUAACCUGGCGGUGGAAGGAGGCUAUAUAUAUCUCCUAUCUCUCACUAACCCUAGGUUUUGCACCAGUUUUUUUUUUUUUUUUUGUGCGUAUUGGGCAAGUAAAUUUGACUUUCUCUGAGCCUGUUUUGGGUCAAAUUACUCAUGGGCCUUUUUUGUCAACAAACUCUUGGGCCUCAUUCUGUCAGAUUUGUUUCGUUUAUUUUGAAAAUUACUCUUCUCACUUCCAAAAUGUCUUUCGGAAACAUAAGAGAAACAGACUGAACCAUAAGAGAAACGUUAAUUACACAAAUAUCACUUAGUCCAAUACUCAUAGAAAUUCGAUGAACGUUUGUAGAAUGACAUCAUUUUUCUCUUUGUUAAGUUUCUUUUUUGCUUUUUAUUUAACAUAGAUUCUACCACCGUAAAAUUCCUCCUAUUUUGGUCCUUCAACAACUCGCUCAUACUGCCGUGGUAGAGAAUCUUGUCAUGUUGAUCUUUUUAUAACGUGAGAAUUUUUUUUGUUAACUUUAAUUAAAGAGCUGAAGUAGAUAAAAAAUAUGGUUUUUUCAUGUAGUCAUAAAGUCAAGAAAAAUGAUCUAGAAGUUAAAUUUCUUUUUUAUAAUUUUUUGCAAACAUAAUUAGAACUUUCCAACCAUGGACGUGGUAAUUAUGAAUUUUUAAAGUGUCAAAAAUCAAAACAAAAAAAUAAUGAGCUGAUUUUUUUUUUAAGAGAAUUCUUCAAAAACACAUAAAAAUGAUUUGUAAAGUUUUAUAACAUUACUAAUACGCCUCAAUUUAUUUUAAUUUUUCAACCAACAUGUGAAAAAUCACAAUUUUGUUUCGAGUUAGCAUAAAAUCACGGGUCAAAUCUGGUUCCCCUAUUUUGUAGGCAUGUUCACUAGAACCCCCACCACAAAAUUUUGAACUUUAUUUUAAACAUACCUGCAAAAUUGGGGAACUAAAUAUCCGGUGAGUAUAUACUUACUUUUAACAAAAUUGUAAAAAAUCAAAAUAUAUUGAGGUGUCUCGAAAAGGCUAUAAAACUAUGUAGAACAUUUCUACGUACUUUUAUUGUGGGACACUUUUUUUUAAUGUCUUAAAUUUUUUUUGCAACAAAAUCAUUAAAAAAUUCAAUCUCUAAUCAUUUUUCUUAACUCUAUGUCUAUUACGAAAAAAGUUUCACUUUUUUAUUUCAUUCUUAAUUAAUGUUAGUAAAAAAAAUAAAGCAAAACAACUCUGAUGUCAUAAAAAAAGAAGUAAGAUUUCCUAACACAUUAGUGUGUGUUAUUUUUUACAAGAAUCAUUUUCAUGAAGAAUGUUUGAACCACACAUUUUCAACACACUUUAUUUAAUUGAUUAAAAUUCAUUUGAUCCCACCAAAUAACGUGGAUCUCAUGUAUAUUUGAACAAAUAAAAAAAGUGUAUUGAAAAAUACAUGUUGAAAUGUUUGUUGUCCGUCUUUCUCUUAUUAUUUUCAUACUUUGUGCAUAUUACGGACACUAUUUCAAGUUUCAACAAUUAGCUUAAAAAUGUGUUCUAAUGUGUAUUGGUUGGGGUAAAUUACCCACAAUUAUUCCAUAGAUAUCCUGAUUGUGAAGCAUUAUUAUUUGCUAACCAACAACGCAAGCUAAGACUUCUAGAGUUUAGUCAGCAAAGCAAAAGUAAAAGGCAAUGCAAACUAUAUUUUUGGCGGCGUAGGGGUAAAUCCAGGAAGGUUCAUGUCACUGCUGUCACGCAUUCUCCUUUAAACCCUCCCAUUUUUUUACAACUACAAAUACCCUCCAAAUCUAUCCACAUCUUUGUGUCAUUCUCACUCAAACACAAGAAAAACAAAAUUCACAACACAACAAUUUUUCUUCCUCAAUAAUAACCCACUCAACCUCUCAUAUCAAUCAUAAUACUCUAUUCUUUCAUUGCCUUUUCAUAACACCAUUUCACCCUCCAAAACCUCUCCUUGGCUAGCUGAUACAUCAAGCAAUACUCAUCAUCAUCAAAGAAUGUGUGGUGGUGCUAUCAUCGCUGACUUCAUUCCUCGCCGUGACGGCCGCCGUCUCACCGCCUCGGAGCUCUGGCCUAACUCAUUUGGCCAACAGAUUGACUCCUCAAACUUCGGUUUUUCUCAUACUGCUGCUGAUCAACAACCACCCAGCACUCUCAAAAGAUCACAGCCUCCCAAAGGUGAGUUACUAUUUUCUUUUUCUAGUCCUAAUACCCUUUUCAUUUUUCUUAACUCAUAUCUAGUUCAAGCACCGACUAGUAAGUUGUUUUGUAUUUGUUAGAGAUUUUUCUUAUUUGGGUUUUUCAUUUGAACAGUUAAUGAACGAGUUGAGAAGCCACUGAAAAAACAGAGGAAGAAUCUCUAUAGAGGAAUUCGACAGCGUCCAUGGGGAAAAUGGGCUGCAGAGAUUCGUGAUCCAAGAAAAGGAGUUCGUGUUUGGCUUGGUACAUUCAACACUGCUGAAGAAGCUGCUAGAGCUUACGACAAAGAAGCUCGAAAAAUCCGUGGCAAAAAAGCUAAGGUUAAUUUUCCUAACGAAGAUGAUGAAUAUACCAUUCAUGCUACUCGUCGCUACAAUAAUAAUCCUCCACCGAUUCGACCACAGAAGCUUCCUCUAUAUCAUCAACAACACUAUCAGAAGAAUCUGAACUUGGAAUUUGGUUAUGAUCUGAACCAAACUGACACAAUUCAUGCUAUCAAUACUGGUUCUGGUGGUGAUGAGAAUUCUUUAUUUGGGUCUGGUUCAGUUUCAGAGGUUGGUUUUUCUGUGAUGGAGUUCAAUGGUGGUUCCAAUCAGAAUGAAUUCGGUUAUUUUGGUGGUGUUGUGAAUGAACAUGAAAAAGAGAAAGAGAAAGUGGUAGAACAAGAAACACAUGUUGUUGAACAAGCUGAAGCUGAAUUAGCAAAAAAUGAGGUACAAGAAUUGUCUGAUGAAUUGUUGGCAUACGAGGAUUACAUGAAGUUUUAUCAGAUUUACUAUGAUGGACAAUCAGUGAUGCCACCUAAUAAUGUUCAGGAACAUGUGGUUGGAGAUUUAUGGAGCUUUGAUUGAUGGUAACAAUAACUGUUUUUCAUGCUUCGGUUUCUUCUGUGAAGCUUCUGUGAAGACAGAAUUUUUCCCAUUCUUAUUAUUCGGUUAUCUCUAUUUUGCAUUUAGUAUGGAUGGAAUUGUAAAUUUGGCUACUUUGAAUUUCGAUUCUCUAGUUUAUCUAUUUUUGAGUUAAUUAGUAGGGUUAUGUCAAGUUUUGUUCAAUUGUAAUUUUUUGGUGUUUAACCAAAUGAAAUUAACAAUGUUUCAAUUCCAAUACAAAUUUUGUUGAUUAUGUUUUCGUUUCAACAUCGGAUUAUGGCUGCGUUUAACAUCGGAUUUUAACUCAUCAACUGAGAAUACUUUUUUAAUUUUAAUUUUUUUUUUUUUUUUUUAUCAAUUACUUUUAAACUAAAUUAAAGUGUAAUCAAACUGCGUUCUAUCUUCCUUUUUUUUGAAGACAGAGACUGUGUUGGUGUUUUUUAUUUUAUGCGUGUUGGUAUUUCAAUUUUCAACCAUUUAGCAUAAGGAACUAGCCUCUCACAUUUAGCAACUGAUACUCCUCAAAUAGGAGUUUAGCAUAAGAGAUUAGUCUCACAUAUUAGGUACCUGCAGACAAUAUUUACGUAGGAUUGCCUUCAAACUUCAAAAUAUGAACUAUAAAACCAAAUUAUGCUUAGCAAGAACCCCUUGUUGCAUAUCUUGAAAAAUGAAUGAAAUUUGUGUUUUUUAUUAUUUAUCAAGUCAAAUUCUUUUUUCUUUUUUUCAUAAAUCGUUUUGCAUAGUGUUCUUGUCAAAUAAGUUUUUCUUAAGUUUGUCUAAAACAAAUUCUUAGGUGUGAUGAAACAGGGUAAGGGCAUAAUUUUUUUCUUAUUAAAUUGUCUAAUAAUUAAAAAUUCACUUGUUAAGUGAAAAAUUUUAGAGUUCAAAGCCAACCCCGAUAUAGUACAAUGUUUCUGAUAAUUGAGUUAUGAAUUCUAUUAUUUUUUCAUAUUACACUUGCGCGACAUGAUAUCAUAUGACAUUAGACAAUUUAAGUGUAACACGUUACAAUACCAUUAUUUUAAACAUAAAAAUAUGUGAAAUAAGGAGAAAGAAAAUAAUUAAAUUGAUUUAUGUGUUAAUGUUAAUGACAUUCUCGUGAAGCAUUUUCUUCUAUGUAUUAGUUAAAAAGAAGGUUUUUCCCUGAAAAUAAUAAUUAUUAUCAUUGGCUAUAAAGUGGUUAACGUAACUGCCAUUGAAUGGGGAAAUGAUAGAUAGGGAUGUGAUGCAAAAUGGGAAUAUGGUUAAAAAAGAAGUAAUAAUAAUUGAAAAAGGCAAAGGAAGAAUCCAAUCCAGUGGCGCACGCAGCUGGUUUUGUGUUAUAAAGUUGGCGGAUUUGAAGUUUCUCUUUCUUAGGAAAACAACCGACGCCGUACUCAGUGGGCGCCUACGGGUUCAAAAUACUUGUUCUAACUCACGGACCAGAUGAUAGUUAGGCACUGUCUCAUCCUACCACCAACUCACGGACCACGUGACACAUUCAACAAAAUUAAUUAAUUAAAUAAGUUCAUGCAAAAACAAAUUUGAGAAAAUAACCUUUCAAAAACAUAAAUUUAGAAUAUUUAGGACACAUAUUAAGGGUUACAUUAAGAGUAAAUAUUUAUCAAACCAAAUUAAUCUUUAAUCUUUUUUAAAAUAAUUGACACAUUUUCAAUGUCUAAUUUCUAUUUUUAGCACUAUAACAUAUGUUUAAAGAUAGAUGUUAAUAUUUCUCUUUUUUAUUAAUUAAAGGGAUAUUAGUGACGCUUGUAAUUGUCUCCUAAUGAAUUUGAAUUUAAAGGGUCAUUAUUUUAAACAAAGAACUACAUUUUUUAUUUAUUCAAUUAAUGAUGUAUAUGAUCUUUAUUAUAGACCACAUACUUCAUUUAAUAAAUGAAUCUAAAAUAUUGAUUUUUGUUUAUACUCCCUCCGUCCCUAAUUAUAAGACCCUUUUGCUAAAAUCACGGGAAUUAAGAAAGCGGAUAUUUGUAUUAAAGUUGUUUGUAAUCACUAUUGUUUUUACAAUUUUAUCCUUAAGAGAGAGAGUUAGUUUAUGUUUUUCAUAUGUUACUUAUUGCUGAUUGAAGAAAAAGAUGUAUAAUAAAUAGGGGCGUGUAUGUAAAGAAAUAAUUAAUGUAGUUGGAAAUAACAAAGGGAUCUUAUAAAAAGGGACAAAAAAAAUUCUCAAAAGGGUCUUAUAAUUAGGGACGGAGGGAGUAAUAGUGAUCAGAUGGUGUACAUAUUUUGAACAGAUAUAAUGUAGUUAAUGUCUUAAAUUCGUGUCUAAAUUUUACUAAAUUGUUGUUCUUUAUUUAUAUGUGUAUUUAAUUUGGUUUUCUAUAUUCUAAUAUAAAUUAAUAGUAUUAAUUAGAGAUACAUAUAUACGGAAAAAAUAAUAAAUGCAAAUAAUAAUUUAUAUACGGAUUUAUAUUUAAAGACUGUACUUUUUUUUAAAUGAGAUUUAUAAUUAAGGACGGAGUGGAUACGACUUACCAUACUUGGCCAUUCUUCCUAAACCAACAAAAAUAAUAAAAUCUUUCUAGAGUUUAGAAUAAGUAAAAUAAGUAGUGUGAUCCUUUAAUUAUUUUUUUUUUAGGAAAUGUGAUUCUUUAAAUUAUUGUUUUGUAAUAAAUUAUUCCUUUAAUUUUAUUAUGCAACAAAUUAACUUUUUCGUAUAAUCACUUUUUAAGUGACUUAGAUGGAAAGAGGGUCAAGGUGACAAUAUUUUAUGAAUAAACAUCAAUUUGCAGAAGGAAAAAAACUAUCUUGUUACAAAAACACUUGUUUUUUUAAUACCGUUUUUAAAAUAGUGUCUAAAAUGAGAAAAUUACACUUUUAGUCAUUUAAUUUAAUUUCAGAUAACAAUUUAAUCCUUUAUAUUUUAGGUCCAUUUUCAUAUAAAUUUUUAAGCCUCAAAUCUAAUAUUCUUAUGCAAACAUAGAUGAAAACCAUAGAUUAGAAUAUUGAAAAGCCAUAAAAAAAUGAACCCAGUAAUUUGAAGUAUGAAAAUUCAUAUGUAAAUGGUCCAAAAAGACAAAAUUAAAAUAAAAAAGAUAAAAGAUCAAAUCGUUAAUUAAAAUUAAAUUAAAUUAUUAAAAAUUCAAUUUUACCAAUCUAGAAUUGAAGGAAAUUAAUGUAGAGACUAACGAACUUAAUAAGUCAUAAUUUUAUAAAAACUCAACAUAUUUAAUUAUUAAAAAAACAACUUGUUAUUUUUGUAAUAACUUAGUCAAUAUUGACAUGUCACGAUUAAUUGGUGUGUCACCAACAGUAAAACUCAAGAAUAAUAUAUAUAUUUUUGUUGAGAAAUCUCAAGAAAAAUAUGUAAUUUGUUAAUUAGGCAAGUUGAUGGGUUGACCCAAAAAAAUUAAUAUAUAAAUUAGAAAGAAAAAAACUAAUAAUAUUAAGGGUUAAAUAAUGUUUAUACUCGGUUAUUUGAACGAUUUUUUGUUUAUCCUCUUGUAAAAUCUUAUUUUUAGAUUCUCCCUUAUCAUAUAAAAAUUCUUUAAUUUUAGCCCCUCGUGGCAUCUAACUAGGCAAAAACGCAAAACUAACACGUUUGACUAUGUAAUUGAUUUUAGUUUUUAAAAUUUAUUUUUGGUUAAGUUUUUUUUAAUAAUUAAAUAAAAUGUCAUUAUUUUUAAAAGAAAUUUAAAGAUUAAAAAUAAUCUUCAUCUUCAUAACUUAAAAGUAUCUUCAUCAUCAAAUUCAACCAACCCCAAAACAAAUCAUCAUCUACACUCUCAUCAUCCACUCUCUCUAUAAAAAAAAAUAAAAAAAAUCAACAAACAAGGCUUCAACCAACAUCAUGUAUUCAUAUUAGAGUAAAUAGUCGAUUAUCCUCCUGAAAUUGUAAGUUUCAUCAAUUACCCCUCAGAAAUUAACAAAACUUCAAUUACCCCCCUGAAAUUGCACAACGUUGACCAAUUUACCCCCUCCGUCAAAUUUUUAUGUUAGUUAACAUGACGUUUUGCAAAUACCCCCCUGAAGUUUUGUACUUAUGUGCAAAAUGCCUCAUGAACUUGAAAAUUUAUAUAUUUUUUUUCUUAUCCUUAAAAGUGACUGCAUUAUCACUGAAUUGUGGAGCAUAUUAGCUAAGUUUUGACGGUAUACAACCAUAUAUGUUCCUUUAAACGAUCAAACAUUAACCAUGUAUUAGAGUCCAACGAUAUGAAAGUCAGCAUAGUAAAGUACAACCACACUUGUCAGAUGGAAAACUAAUACAUGUCAUACAUAAUGAAGCACAUAAAUAAUACAUGAUUGACAUAAUUAAGAAUUACCAAGAUGUCAUAGUAUAUGGCUUUGCUAUUACUAAUUUUAACCACACCAAAAAUUUCCACUUCCUUUAUAAUGAAAUUUCAACACACUUCUCUCACUUUCAAGAAAAAAUAUAUAAACUUCUUACUUCUCUCACUUGAUUCUGAUUUCAACAAGUUAUACCUCAAAAAACAUAAAAAGAAAGACCGUUUGGAGAAAUAAAUUCUUCAACUAAUUCCAAAUGGAGACUUCAUGCUAGUACCUUAGGGAGAAGACAUUGUGAAGAACGUCAAAACAGAAACUAGCAUGCCUGAUUUGGUGAAGGUACAACUAGUCACAUGUUUGCAUGGACUACAAUAAACUUCACUAGAAUCGACCUUUCUGCAAAAGUUGUAGGAAGAAAUUUCUCAAGAAAGUGGAGGCUUUAGAAAAAAAACUGUAAAAUCCCUUGGUUUUAAUUUUUAAUAGGACAAGGAAUCAAAGAAAAUUCGGACAAGCGCAAAGCAUUCAUGGAAAGCCCAACACCAUACUCUAAUAAAUCAAUUUAAACCCUUAAUUAAUGUGAUGUUGACAACGCUCUAGCGAUUUGUCUCAUAUUAGCUCAACACGCUUUGCCCUUAUUUAAGUUACUAAUUAAGAAAAUAGGUUAAAUUAGAAUGGAAAGAUGAAUGUGAAGUUGCACUCACUCAUCUCAAGAAAGCAUUGUUCCAACCACCAACAUUUUCUCAACCAGAGGAAGGGGAGAUUUCAUAUUUGUAUUUGUCUGUAGCUUUUGAAUUCGUAAGUGUUGCUCUCAUAAGAGAAACAAAAGAGGACAAAAAAACUAGUGUGUACUUCAUGAGAAAAGCAUUACAAAAGCUUGAAAUACAUUACCAGAUUAUUGAAAAGGUCGCCUCGUAUUGGAGGCUAGGAGACUUCGAAGUAACUUCCUAGCACAUACAAUCAUAGUGUGAAUAGACCAACUGAUAAGGAAAAUCCUUUUUCGAUGAGAUGUGAUAAGCCAAAUGAUGAAAUAGUUCUUGAAGUUAUUUGAGCUUUACAUCAAGUUUGAAGCUAAGAAGGCACUAACAAUGCAUAUGCUUAUAGAUUUCGUAGCACAAAUGAACACUUCUCCCGAAGAGAAGACAUACAAAUUGAUCAUCUUAAUCGAUGGAUCAUACAACUCCAAAGGAAAUGGCGUAGGGAUAAUUAUAGAAAAUGAGUAAAGACUCAUCGUUGAAGUAUUCUUAGGGUUGUUCUUUACCACGACCAAUAAUCAAGCUGAUUAACACGAAGCUUUCAUGGACAAUCUAAAUGAAGACAAGAAAGCAAAGGAAAUAAAAAUAUGCAUAAAUUCCCAAGUCUAAAGAGAGUUUCAGGUAAGAGAUAAACACCUAUUAGAAUACCUUGAUGUAGUUAAUGAAAAAAUGAAAAAAUUUGACUACCUCUAAGUGCAACAUGUUCCCCACGAACACAAUACACGAGCAAACAUCCUUUCAAAGUUGCAAGUACCAAGACGAAAAGAGGAAUCAUAUUUGUGAAAGCAAAGUUAAUUAAAAAUUCAAAUGAGAAAAAAAAAAUAUUCACAUUAAAAAUGUCCUCUUUUACAACAAUUUGAAACUGGAAACAUAAAAAAACAUAAGACAGAAAAAAUAUAAGCCCUCGAAAAAGAAUAAAACUCAUAUUGAACACAUAAAUGAGAAAGAAUGAGAGAAGUAAAAAAUGUCAAUAAAAAUGGUAAGAACUAAGAAAAUAAAUAAAUAAAAAACAAAAGGAAGUAGAAAAGAGAAGAUAUAAGUAAACCUUUAUAAUAUCAGAGUUAGAUGGUCAAACAUGCCAAUUGCCAACUAUGUGGAAAAGACAUAUGGUAGGGGGUUAAUGGUAAGGUGGCUCGCAAUGAGUUUGUUUUUUGAGUUAUUAAUGUGUAGGAAGUCUUAUGAGUGAGUGUUGUUAUUGUUGAAAAAAUGUUUAACAUGAUUCUUGUGUUGUCCUGUUCAUCUCUACAAAGGUGUUUGAUUUGAUCAUGCUUUUCCUUUUUGAUUGGUUUCUAUAUUUGUUCACUAUUUGAGUAGCUUGUAUGUUAUGUUGUGUGGUAAUUGUGAAUCUAUAUGAUUUUUUUUUUUUGCUUAGGAUAUGGUAGGAUUGAUUUUAUUCUCAGGGAAUAUAACAAUAUAAGAGGAUGUCCUUCCUUUAAUUCCUCUGUUCAGAAAGUAGCAACACUUAAAUCAAUAGGAUUUUGUUGGCUGCUUCAUCUUUAGUAAAGGAAAAUUCUGCUCCAUCUUAUAUCUCAUUAUUUCAGUGAUUGUUGGAUUUGGUACAAUUAUUUAUACCUCAAAUUUACUUUUAUUUUGUUUUUGUUCUCACAUUCCUUCUAAAUACUUGUAGCUAGAAGACUUUUGUUGUUUCCAAGGAAGCUAUGAAAAAUGGUGUUGCAAGCCAAGCAGAUUUUUGUUGCAUUAGCUUUGCUUAGAUCCCUCAUGGCUAAUGUUUUUUUUUAUUUUAUUUUAAUUUUUGGUGGAAAAAGUGAUUGUUACUAGGUUUAGUUAGGAUAUCUUAUUUCAUUGAUCUAAAUUUUGAUCAAAAUGUAGUAUUUUGAUUUGCUUGGAUCAUGUAAAAACACUUAUGUAAUCUCUAGAUUCAAUGUGGUGGAUUGAGUAAAAAAACUCCUAUAGAUAAUCCACUUUUUUCUAAUCUAUUUCAAUUAGUAACAUUUUUUUGAUAGAUUCACAAUUUUUUAGUCUGGACAAUUUUGCGACACUUUUUUACAACUUCUCAAAAAUUAGGGUUAAAUAUGUUUUUGGUCCCUAUAAAUAUACCAACUUUUCGUUUAGUCCUUCUAAAAUUUUCCUUCAACUUUUAGUCCCUAUAAAAUUUUCAAUCACUACUUUUGGUCCCUAAUUUUAAGUUAAUUUUUGUAUUUUUUUAAUGAAAAUGUGUAGAAUAUUAUAAAAUAAAUUGCCAAAAAAAUAAUUUUUUUAAUAAAACACAAAUUAAAUAUGAAUUUUUAACUGUCAAAAAUAUAAAAAUCCAUAUUAAAUUCAUGUUUUGUCAAAAAAAAUCUAAUUUUUUUUGGGUGAGAUUCUUAUAAUAUUUUGAAUUUUUAUGCAAAAUUUUAUUCAAAAAUAUGAAUUAUAUAUAUGAGUUUACUUUAAAGGAUGAACCAAAAGUGAAGAUGAAAUUUUUUUGAGGGACUAAAAGUUGAAGAAAUUUUUUAAAGGGACUAAAACGAAAAGUUGACAUAUUUAUAAGGAUAAAAAACAUAUUUAACCCCAAAAAUUAUAAAUGUAACAUUUUUUUUAGUGUUACCGGUGAUACAAAAAGUGUUACAAUAAUGUAACAUUUUGCGACACUUUUUAAAUGUUACUGAUAAUACUAUAAAAAUGUAACUGAAGCUCUUUAGUAGCAUGUGCUUUGCCUAACAAUUGUAUAAAUGUGACUAAUUUUAAUUAGUAACAUUUUUCUUGAUUUAGUAACAUUUUUCAUGGGUUACUAGAUGUCAAUUAUGUUGCAGUGCAUGUUCCAUAUUCUGAGCUAACAAUGGAUGGACGGAGUAAGUUUUAAGGGACCAACAGAUAACGAUUUUUAAGCUGAGAGAUUCAAAUUAAAAUACCUCAAUAGACAUAAUUCAAAUCAUAACACAAGGGUUGUCAUAUAUAUCUACUUAUCCGUAACAAUUGGAAAAAUUAUCUACUCAUAAUGUUUGACUAAACAUAAAAAGAGAGUUAUAAGAAUUACUCCUAAAAUCUCUUCAAAGGAAGUCAAUUCGGAGAACGGCGAGUGCAUGGUAUAUAUUAGUGUCUCAAAUGCGAGUUAAAUGUGCAUUUAUAUCAUUUAUUUGUUUUAAGACUAUAGUAAUGGACACCUCCAUUUCUUUUGAGAAAUGGAGAGGAUCGUAACUCAUCAAAUGCACUAUAGUGCCCGGCCUUGGCGCGUUGCAACAUUCUUUCCUUCGUACGCCAAUUUUGAACACAAAUGUUGUGCUAUAAAUUCACAUGAGUGCAUGCUGCGUUGCACUUUGAUCUUUCUACUAUGCGAGUUCCUUUUAUUCAUAGAUUUUUUUAGGCUUCAAAAGUCAUCUAGUUCUUGUAUUGUAUCAAUCCUCUUUAACUUCUAUAGUGUAAGGCUAAGUCUUAAAAUCAAAAUGAAAAUCUGAAAAUCGAGAAUAGAACAAUGAAAACUACUUAAAAUUCACUCUAAAAAUAUUGACUGAUGAAGAAUUAUCAAUAUGUGAUAAGGUGAGUAUGGGAAAGAUAAUAGAACAAUGUAAGAGAAUUGAGAAACCUCUAACUUUACAUACAGAUGGGGAUUGUUGCCUUGACUUUUAUCCUAAAUUGUCAAAUUUUUAUGUAGUGUGUUGAAGAAACUUAUGACAUAAGGAUAACCAUGAAUGAAGAUUGGGAAGAAAGUAAAAAACUUUUUUUAAAGUUUUUUGUUUGGGAUCAUGCAAAUAAAAUGCUGCUUAAUAUGACGUGCCAAUAUAUGCUUUGGUGAUUGACACCCAUCAAAACUAGUCUUACAACAAUAUUGAAGGUGUAUUGUAUAAUCUUAAGAUGAGAGAAGAGUGAGAGAGAGGUGCCUUUGUAACUUUACAUUUGUGCAUUAAUUGUUUCCUUGACUUUAUUCCUGAAUUAGUAAGUUUUAUGUCGUACGUGUAUUGAAGAAGCUUGUGAGGAACCUUUGUAACUUCCCUUGACUUUUUAAAAAUGUUUUUGAUUGUUGAAGUUGUUUUGUUUUGGGAGAGAUAUAUGUUUAAUUGAUUGACACCUAUUGAAACCCUUCUUAAAAUAGUAAUGAAGGUGUACAAUAUUAAGAUGAGAAAAGAUUGUGAGAGAAACCUUUGUAACUUUAUAGUUAAGCAUUGUUGGCUUAUCUUUCUUUUCUUUCUUUCUCAAUUGACAAAUUUCCAUGUAGUGUGUUGAAGAAGCUUGCGAGGUAGCAUAAACUUGCAUGAAGGAAAAGAUUGUUGAGUGUAGGCAAUUGCAACAGAUAGAUAGAUAGAUAGAUCUAGAGGAAAAAAGUACAACACGUAUGCUGGAAGAAAAUCGUACAUAAGCCACAACAUGCAACCAUUUAACAUCGUCCAUCAUCCAAAUACAUUAUGUAUUUACGUUAUACAAACAUUAUGCUCUAUAAAUAGUCAUGGUAUUCUUGGACUUUGUACCUCAACACUACUUAUAAGCACUUGUUCACUACCCAUUUCCUAAAACAAACAAAGAAACUAUUUUAUGAUGGCUUAUCUUAGAUCCAUCUUCACCACCUUUAUUCUUCUUCUUUUUUCAUUACUAGUUAUUGCCAAUGCAGCUGAUUAUGGUCCAACACCAAACGUUGAGAAGCCUAAAUUUGAAGUAGAUAACAAACCAUAUUCUACAAAACCAAACUAUGAUGUUUCCAAACCUAAAAUAGGUUAUGAGUAUAAUCCAACUCUAGAGAUUGAGAAACCCAAAGCCGAUAUAGAUUAUAAAGUAAAUUUCACGGAACCAAACUAUAAAGUUCGCAAACCUAAAAUAAAUGAUAAAUAUGGUAUGGUUCCAAAAAUAGAGAAUUUUGAACUUGAAACAGAUUCCAAUCAACAUCUCGAAAAAUCGAACGAUGAAAAUCCCAAACCUGAAACAAAUAAUGGGUAUGGUCCAUUACCAAAGAUCGAGAAACCUAUAUCAGAAGCGGUCUACAAACUAAACCACACAAAAUCAAACAAUGAAGUUCCCAAACCCAAAACUCAUUUUGCUUAUACUCCAACCCCAAAGAACGGGAAACCCAAAUCCGAUGCAGUUUACACAUCAAACACCACAAACUCAUAUUAUGAAGUUCCAAAACCCAAAUUUUUUUAUGGAUAUGUUCCAACCCCAGAAAAAAUUGAGAAACCUAAGUCCGAAGUAGUUUACACACCAAAUACCACAAACCCAGACUAUGAUGUUCCCAAACCUAAAACAUAUUAUGGAUGUGGUCCAACCCUAAAGAUUGAGAAACCCAAGUCCGAAGCAGUUUACAAAUCAAAUCACACAAAAUCAGAAUAUAAAUUACCAAAACCUAAACAAAAUUAUGGCUAUAUUCCAGCGAUUGAGAAAUCCAAACUUGAACCAGAUUAUAAUUUAAACCCCACAAAACCAUAUUAUGAAGUUCUCAAAACAAAAGAAAGCUACAAAGUGCAACUUCCCACAUCCAUCGGUGUCCAAGGAAUAGUUUUCUGUAAAUCAGGCUCAAAUUAUUACCCAAUUCAAGGUAAAUUUUCAUUGAUCUAAUAAAAAAAAGUGAAAUGCAAAACAAAAACCUAUCUCGCUAAUUUUUUUUUGCUACAUUUUCUAUGUCUUGCAUGUAUGAAAUUAAAACCAAUUAAUUUAUAUUAGUUUGAACUUUAAAUUGAUGAUAUAUUAUUAGUUAUAUAUUUAGCAUGUGUGAGGGGUGCAGGGGCUGUGGCACGAGUUACAUGUAGAUGUGUGAAUGAGCUUGGAAAUGAGACAAACCCUAUAUCAGUAUUCAGUCAUGCAACAAAUGGUAAAGGUUAUUAUUUUGCUACAUUGUCACAUGCAAAGCUUGGAUCAAAAUUGAAGAUUAAUGAGUGCAAAGCAUACCUAGAGAGUUCUCCAUUAAAUAUUUGUAAAGUUCCCACCAAUGUGAACCAUGGGAUUAGUGGUGCUCCUCUUUCUUCUUAUCGUCUUCUUGAAAAUAAUUUUAGAUUGUACUCUUUGCCACCUUUCUUCUACACCUCUCAAGCUAAACCAAUCCUUAAUGUGCAUGACCAUUGGUUUGUCAAAUAGAGUGGAAUAAAAUUCUAUGUAUGGCUACAAAUAUAAAGAAGAAUGGAUUCUUGACUAUAUUUUUUAUUUGUUAAUUUGUGGACUUAAUUCGUAUGUAAUUGAUAAUUUGAUAUAUAAAUAAAAUCAAGGUUUGUCAUGAGUCAAAAACUUUAUUUAUUUCUUCAUAUUUCUGUAUAUACACUUGCCUAUUUUUGUUUUUUUUUUUUGGGUGAGCUGAGAACAUUCACUUUUAAUUAAUUGUUGAUUUAACCCUGAUUUAAACAUAAAAUUAUUCAAACAACAACGUUGAGGACUUUGAUCUUAGAAUUAUUAAAUUCAAAACUCUACACUUUAUUGGUACAUCUCAAUAUUUAUGACAUGUAUUAUUAUAGUAAUAUUUAUCGAUAUCAGUCACAUAUAUCGAUAAAUAUUAUGGUAAUACAUGUCAUUAAUAUAAUGUAACUGACUUGUGAAUAAUACAAGUGUAGGAUCUAGUUUUAUAAAGAAUGCAUAGUAAUGGCAGUUUUUUUAUUUAAAAAAGAAUCAUAUGAGAAACUUCCAAAUGCUUCAACAUCUCAACUUGCUACUAGUACAAAAACUGAUUUUUAACAUGUUUUUAAGGUCAUAAGUCUAUUUCUUAACCGGUGUAAGAUCUUCCGUUUUAAUAUAUGAAAUUUUUUAGGACGAUUUUUCAACUGGAUUAAAAUAAUAUGGUUCAAUCCGGUUGAGAAUUGAGAUAAACAUUCAUCUUAACAUUUUUAUCAUCAACGCAAUAUUGUGUUACAUUUUAAGUUGGUUGUGAGAAACAAAUAUAAACUUCGUGUUACAUUAUUUUAUGUCGCCUUUUGCCAAAAACCAGAGAGAAUUGAGAUAUAAUACCAAGGCUAAAGUAUACUUUUUAUUCUCUCUAUAAUUUACAAAAUGUUUGUUAUGAUCUUUUAUCGUCUUUUUUAUUCAUUUUAGUCCUUUAUCUUUCUUUUACCGAAUUGACUGGCAUCAAUUAAUAUCAUUGGUUUAAUUAAGACAAUAGGUUUGAGAUUUAGGGAGGUUUCUUUGGCACGACUCCCUUGGACUGACCAUGAAUUGCAAAGUAGUGAAUUUUUAUUGAAUGUUAUUGUAAAACUAAUUCACAUUGAUAGUGCAUACCUUUUUAACUCGUAUAAUUUCUGUCUUUAAAAAAAAGUUUAAUGAUAACCGAGUACUCUAAAUAUUAUGAAGGUUAUCUCACACGAAAUGCAAGAAAGCAAUACAUCUCAAUUUUGAAAAAGGGAUGUGUGAUUAGUUUUUUUUUUUGUUUUGUUUUGUUUUGUUUAGUAGCUUAGUGGUUGGAGCACAUAAUUAAAUGCAGAGAAGUGGGGUGUCCGAGGUUCGAACCCCGGUCCACUACAUAAAUUAUGCAAUGUCUCUACCAACUAAACUCACAGAGAUUGAUUAGUUUUGUUUUUGACGAAAAUCAUAGUGCGAUAUACAUUUAAAGUAUUCGCCUUGUAUCUUCUUAUAUUGUCGCGUUCUAAGUUAUCUUAAAAAAAAUUGGAGAAGAGAAAAUUAUUAUUAAUAGCAGUGCUAACCAUUUUACAAUAGUCCCAAAUAAGAUUUAAAAUAUAUCUCUUGAGAUUAUAUAGUCAAGUUUUGAUAAUAAAUUGACACUUCUUAUGAGUCUUCUCAAUUUGAAUCUUGAAACUUUAACUUCUUUAAUCUCUUUUCCCAAUCCGAGGGAGAUAUCAAUCUCAAGAAGGUUAAUGAUUUGUAUUCCAAUUUCAUCAAAUAUAAUUUUAAUUAUGAUUUUUUACCAUGUAAAAAUUUGCAAUCGCAUUUUUUUCACAAAAGAAUAAAAUGUGUAUCGGGCUUAAAAUGAGUUAAAUUUAAAUUAGGUGUUGUGAGAUGAAUAACUCGGAAUUAAUUAUUCUUAAUUUAUGGUGUCAAAUUACAAAAGUGAAUUCAAGUUGCUUAUAUUUCUAUUACGCUAAAUAGUCAUAGUAAUUUGGAGUUUUAUUUAAGGAAUUGUUUUGCUCAAUAAUCAAACUCAAAUUCUUCUAAACGAUUGUUUUUUUUGAUAGAGUCAUUAACCGCUUGUUUACUAUACGUUGAAUGGUUGAAAAUAUAUGUUAGCUAGCUGGCCAUGUAGUAGAGAUAUGAUCCAAUAUUCAUAGAAAAAAGAAGAUUUAAUCCAAUAAUUAUUUAGGACAUGCAAUUCAGGGUUUUAUCGUGCAUCCAUGUCAUAUCCUACAUCUUAUAAUUAUUAUUAUUAUUAUUGUAGGGACGUGUGCAUUGAUGAAAAAUUCAAAGUUAGUAAUUUAAUAAGUGACCAAAUAUGCUCUAAGUGUGUGUUUUUAGAUAGCAAUACAUGUUCUCCACUCACUAGGUAGGUGAAUGAUCUCUAGUCAUGUAUUUUCUUGCAAGGAAACAACACUCUACAAAUGAAAGACUCCCCUCCUUAUAUUUACCUAGAGCUUUAUUAUUCAUAAGCCACGACGUGCAACCAAUUAUCUUGGUCCAUCCAAUUAUUCAUAUACUCCAUAAUGCAGUAUGUAUUUAUGUUACACAAACACUAUGCUCUAUAAAUAGCCUUGAUAUUCAGGGUAUUCUACCUUACCACUGCUUUGAAGCAUUUACCACCCUUUUUCUGAAACAUUACAAAGAAACUAACUUAUGAUGGCUUCUCAUAGAUCCAUUUUCGCUAUCUCUAUCCUUCUUUUUGCGUUGCUAGCCAUAGCCUCCGCAACUGAUUAUGUGUAUGGUCCAGCACCAAACACUGAGAAGUCUGAACCCGAAAUCGAAGUAGAUAAGAAGUCAUACUCUACAAAAUCAGACUAUGAAGUUUCCAAAUCCAAAACAAAUUAUGAGUAUAGUCCAACUCCAAAGGUUGAGAAAUCCAAACUCGAUAUAGAUUACGAAGUACAUUUAAUAAAACCAAACUAUAAAGUUCCCAAACCCAAAGUAAAUUAUAGAUAUGAUCCCGUUCCAGAGAUAGAGAGACCUGAACCAGAAACAUAUUACAAACACCUCACCAAACCAAACUACGAAGUUCCCAAACCUGAAAUAGAUUAUGGGUAUAGUCCAACUCCAAAGGUUGAGAAGCCUAAGUCCGAAGAAGUUUACACAUCAAACCCCACAAAACCGGACUAUGAAGUUCCCAAAACCAAAAUAGAUUAUGGCUAUGCACCGGCUCCCAAGAUUGAGAAACCCAAGUCCGAAGCUGUUUACACACCAAACCCCACAAAACCGGACUAUGGAGUUCCCAAACCUAAAACAACCUAUGAAUAUGCCCCUGCCCCCAAGAUUGAGAAACCAAAGUCCGAAGCAAUUUACACACCAAACCCAACAAAACCAAACUAUGAAGUUCCCAAACCCAAAACAAAUUAUGAGUAUGCCCCAGCUCCCAAGAUUGAGAAACCAAAGUCUGAAGUAGUUCACACACCAAACCCCACAAAACCUGACUAUGAAGUUCCCAAAUCCAAAACUGAUUAUGGGUAUGCCCCGACCCCCAAAAUCGAGAAAUCCAAGUCUGAAGCAGUCUACACACCAAACCCCACAAAAUCAGACUAUGAAGUUCCCAAAACCAAAACAGAUUAUGAGUAUGCCCCAGCCCCCAAGAUUGAGAAACCAAAGUCUGAAGUAGUUUACACACGAAACCCCACAAAACCUGACUAUGAAGUUCCCAAAUCCAAAACUGAUUAUGGGUAUGCCCCGACCCCCAAAAUCGAGAAAUCCAAGUCUGAAGCAGUCUACACACCAAACCCCACAAAAUCAGACUAUGAAGUUCCCAAAACCAAAAUAGAUUAUGAGUAUGCCCCAGCCCCCAAGAUCGAGAAACCAAAGUCUGAAGCAGUUUACACACCAAAAUCCACAAAACCAGACUAUGAAGUUCCCAAAACAAAUUAUAACUAUGCCCCAGCACCAAAAAUUGAGAAACCCAGACUUGAUACAAAUUAUAAACUACUCCCCACAAAACCAGAUUAUGAAGUUCCAAAACCAAAAGAAAACUACGAAGUGCAACUGCCCACAAUCAUUAGUGUUCAA